UGAGACUUCAGCUUUGCAAACAGGGCAAUUUGGCUGUUGAUUAUCGAUGUUCUUUGAUGAAAUGGUCUUAAAAUGUAUCCAUUUGUAGAUGCAAGGCCAACAAUAGAGGUGACCACAUAAUGUAACAACAGGAUCAUGUACAACAUCCAGGCAAAUGUUGCACUCGAAACCUUCAGGUGAGUUUUCUUCAAGUUUAUCAAGAUCAAUUGUGUUCCAUUUUUCAAAGGAAAUAUCGCGUUGAUCAAAGGUAGUUUCUGGUAUUUGGUCUUGAAAAAUUUGUUGUAAGGCCAUAUUUGCCUCUUGGUAUUGAUUUAUUUUGAUAAUGGCAAGAUGAAGAAUGGUUAGAAUUCAGGUUUUUAAUACAAUUAGAAGUGAGUAUUUAUAAGGACAAGAAUAGUAGUUUGCAAACAAUGAUUCUUAAGGUUGUCACUUGUCAACAUCACAUUAUGUUAAAGGGGCAUGGCUAAAAAGAAAAGGCCCUACACAUUACUCCCUCCGUCCCUAUUUACUUGUCCAUAUUUCCUUUUUUGGUUGUCCCUAUUUAGUUGUCCAUUUUGACAAAUCAAGAAAGGACAACAAAUUUUUUCCUAUUAUACCCUUAUUUACACUUCUUGAAAAUUGUAAAAGUGUAUGUUGUUUCCCUCCAAUUUAUUUCACUUGAAUUCAAAUAAGUGGUUGUAAUUUUGAAGUGAAAAGUUGUCAGGGUAAAAUUGUAACUUCACUGUGCUAAUCAUUGUUGCCUUAAUCUGUGUGUCAUUUCUAAAGUGGACAACUAAAAAGGGACGGAGGGAGUAUUAAACAACACUAUAUCAUAUUAGUCAACUCAGUCUUAAUUUAUGCGGUACUGUUCGAUUUGAUAUAACGUUUAAUAAAGAAAAGAAGAUUUUUAAAAUAUGUGGUGUAAAAUAAAUAUUUAAUUAUUUGUGGUUAUAAAUCAUGUCAUUAAGAAUAAUAAAUGAAUUUAAAGUUUUUUCAAUCAUCAAAAUGUGAUAUUCUUUUUGUAUCAGACUGAAACAAAUGUGUUACAUAAAUUGGGACAAAUGAACUAUCACACACAUCAUAAUUAAGUGAUUUAAUGAAGUUGAAAAAUUAAUAUUAAUGGAUCAUGGUUAAGUGAGAGGAGUUUUGUGCAAACACAUCUUUUAUCUAUCUAUUUGAUUUAAACAAGUAUAAGUUUAUCAUAUUAGAAAUAUGAUUAGGACGUUAUAUUAGGCCCCAUGAUAAGAAUCUUAAUCUAGAAAAUAACUUUUAGUCAAUAAAAAGUAGCACUAGUUGCGUAAGUUCAAUUAUUAUUAUUAUUAUAUAUUAAUCUAAAAUUAUUAUAGAAGCUUCUAAACUCUAAAUUCAGAUCCAACUACGGAGUGAAUAUACAUAGUGGGGGAUGGGAGAAAGCAUAUGGACGGUGUGACAAAAAAAUAAAAGAAAUACUCCGUCCAUUCCAUUUGACUUACUAUUGUUUGACUUAAUACGAUGUAUAAGAGGAAAAAUGUAUCUUAGAAAAUUAUACGCUAAACAAUUUUUAUAUAAAUUGUAAAUCAUUUCAUUAAUUAAGGGUAGAUGGAGAAUUUUAAGUUAAAUUAUUUUCAAUUACAAUAAAAUGACAUUUUUAAAGACGGACUAUGAGAAUAGAGUGCCACGUAAAAUAAAACGAGAAAAUACUAUUUCCUUCGUCCCAUUUUAUAUGUCACCUUUUUUACUUUGCACUUGCAUUAAGAAAUAAUGUAACUUUAUCCUUCUACCCUUAUUUAAUGUUUUCUUAAGUCAACUUUAUGAAUAAAUGACAAGAUUAAUUAACUAUUCUAUCAAGGGUAUAAUAGACAAAAUAUGAUAAUUUAUGCAUAAAUUUUAAAUAGUGGCAAGUAUUGUGGUCCAUCUAUUUAUAGAAAGGAAUGACAUAUAAAAUGGGACGAAGUUGGUACUAUAUAUUACUCCCUCCGCUCCAUUUUAUAUGUCAUUCCUUUCUAUAAAUAGUUGGACCACAAUACUUGUCACUUUAUAAAAUUUAUGCAUAAAUUACCAUAUUUUUUCCUAUUAUACCCUUGAUAAAGUAGUUAAUUAAUCUUGAAAAUGUAUUCAUCAUUUAUUAUAAAGUUGACUUAAUAAAACAUUAAAUAAGAGUAAAAGAGUAAAAUUACAUUAUUUUUUAAUGCAAAUGUAAAGUAAAAAUGUGACGUAUAAAAUAGGACGGUGGGAGUACUACAAAAGAACGAGUCCGCACAUGAAUUUUAUAAGUACUACAUGUGUCUCGAAUUUAGCACCCUUUUGUCAACGUUUUAUAUUUUUGUUUACUUCGAAGCAAGUCUAUUCUAUACUAUCCAAUCAAUUAGGGGCGGCCGUUAAUCAGAUAUUAUUAGGCUAAAGAUAACAUAUUACUCUCUCUCUUUCUAAUUAUUUGUCUAUUUUUUUAAAUUGUUUUUAAUUACUUGUCCAUUUUGAUGAAUCAAGCAAGGACAAAUUUUUUUUACCUAUUAUACCCUCAAUUUAUUAUUUUGAAAAAGUAGAACUUCUUGAAAAUCUUAAGUUUUUAAUUUAUCCACUUCAUAAUUAAUAGGGGUAAAAUGGUAAACUCAUUAUGUCAAUAAUUGUUUUCUUAAUAUGUGUGUCAAUUAAAAAAUGGACAAAUAAUUAGGGAUAUAAAAAGUAUAUCGAAAUAAUAUAAUCAAAUAUUAUGCUAAAGAUAAUAAACAAAACUUUGAAGAAUUAUAAAUAAGAUAGCAAAAAAAUCCAUUAGAUAAUACAUAGUAAAUUAACAUGGUUCAACGAUUAGUGAUGGAAUCUGAAUAUGAUUCAAGAUUUUCACUAUUAAUGAAAUUCAAUAGGCAUAAUACAUAAAUGUGCUCUUUAACUUGACUUCAUUUUAUGUUUAUGUCCUUCAAUUUUGAGUAUGCACAAGUAUGCACUUAAACUUGUAUAAAAUUGAACAACUAGCCACAUGAGUUCUACAUGACACAAUACACUUAAGACACCAUGUAGGAUAAAAAAUGACAUGUAGGAUACCAUGUAGGACCUGUGUGUCUAUUUUUUCAACUUUAUACAAAUUUAAAUGUCUACUUGUGCACACUCGAAGUUGAAGGGCAUAAAUGUGAUUUGAAGCCAAGUUAAAGGGUAUAUUUAUGUAUUAUGCCUAUUCAAAAUAUGAAUAAGUAAACAUACAAAUUAGAUGACUACAAUAAUACAAAGACAAUUUUUUUUUUAAUUAUAUGUAUAAAUAGUAUAAUUUUCCAUUGAAGGUGGUUCAUUUGAUUCCUCACUUCUUUCCCUCAUUCAAAACUAUGCAAUAUGAGACUUUCAUGUCACAUGGAAUCCUUCCCUUUUUUUUUUUGGAAAUCUUAAUAGCUCAGUUAGUUGACUGACUAUUUGAAUUCUCGAUUCCCCAUACUGUAAUCCUCUACUCCCAAUUUUUUUUCAUUACCUUCCUCACAUAUGUAUAAUACCGAAUCCAAAGAUCUAAGAUGAGAGAAUUUUGGGAUAGCCGCCACUCCAACUAGCGCCAUGUAUUAUCCAUACUAGAUCUGACCAACUGUCCAUCCUACCCUCCUCUACGUUCUUGACAACCCAUUUUUGUCUUAGUCAAGUCUUUUAGUGGCACAUUUUGACCUUCUUUUCCAUUACUUAGAAAAAGUGAGCUAUUAUUCAGAUACAAAAUACUAUCAUUAUCGCCUAGAAAAUUAGACAUUCAACCCGUAAUCACAAUGAUCCAAUUACAAAUGCUUUGAACCCCCUAGGUCUAGACUGGCUCUGGCCCCUGGUUUUAUCACUUGACCUUCACAUGAGUAAACUCGUUGAUAUAGAGGAUUACAGUAUCGAUUUCUUUAAAAGAAAAAAAACCUUAAUUUAUAAAAGUUCAAAAGAUUUUAAUUCAAUGUUUGUAAGUCAGAAAACAUAUUUCAUAAAACGGUUGCAAAUCACAUCGAAUAAGUUCCAUUGAUUGGUGUAUGGUUCUCAUAAGGGAAGUAACAGCAGCAUAAGCCAUAUAUCCAAAAAAAGGGACUAUCUCUCACUCUCAGUAUGAAAAUGGACAAAUUAAUUGCCACAAGUUAUGUAAUUUUUCAGUUUUUAAGAAAACAGAAAAUGCAAAGAUCUUACUUUUACUAACUAUUUCCAUCACAUUUCCAGCUAGGUCCACUAACAGGAUAAAGUUGAAAGAUGUGAGGUCACUAACCUUAACUUCAAACAAAAGGUCUUUCUUUUAGUUAGGUUCAUAAUCCAUGUAGUGCUGUCUACUCUCUAGUCUCUAUCAACCAGCUCAAGUUUAAGGGUGUGUUUGGUAUGGAGGCCUAGUUUUUCUCAACUGUUCCAGUGUGAAUGUUUUAGUAAUAAAGCUGGUGCCACUGGAUUUAGCCUUUGCGAGGUAGAUUGAGGACUCCCAAGAAAGGAAACACACGUUAUAUAUGGAGCCUGUUCUGGCCUAUACAGUCUGUAUGUACAUAAAAUUUGGAGUAUCUAAAGAACCACUGACAAAUGAAAACGAACAAAAACAAACACUCACACAUUUGGCUUCUGAUUUGACAUUUAUUUCAGAGAACUGGCUAGUCCUCAGAAUACCUUAACUAUUUGAAUUGAUAAAAUCUUACCUAAAAUAAUAAUUGAAAAAAGUAUUUGAAAAAAUUAUUUAUAUAAAAGAUAUUUAGUAGUAAUUUACAUCUAAAAAUUUAGAAAAAUAAAUAAAUACAAAGAAAGUUUAUUUAGAUUUUAGGUCUUUAAUUAAAAUUUUGCUUUAGGCCUUGAAUCAUGUUGAGCCGCCCCUGAUCAUAUUACUCACUCAGUCAAAAUUUAUGUGGUACUAUUUGAUUUGAUGUAACAUUUAAUAAGGAAAUGGAGACUUUUAAAAUAUGUGGUGUAAAACAAAUCUUUAAUCAUUUGUGUUACAUAAAUUGGGACAGAUGAACUAUCACACACAUCAUAAUUAAGUGAUUUAAUGAAGUCGAAAGAUAAAUAUUAAUGGAUCAUGGUUAAGUGAGAGGAGUUUUGUGCAAACACGUCUUUUAUCUAUCUAUUUGAUUUAAACAAGUAUAAGUUUAUCAUAUUAGAAAUAUGAUUUAGGACCUUAUAUUAGGCCCCAUGAUAAGAAUCUUAAUCUAGAAAAUAACUUUUAGUCAAUAAAAAGUAGCACUAGUUGCGUACAAGGAGCUACCACUUGAUGAACUUCCACAGAACCACAUCCCAUAAGUUCAAUAGUUUUCACACUAUAAGAACUAGAUGUUUUUUUCCGCGUGAAUCAAUGAAAAUUGUAUGUUAUAAAACAUGAUUUUUUCCAUUUUAAUUUUAUUAAACUAAUUCACUAAGAAAAUCCAUAACAAAACAUAAGUUCUCAUUGAAAUACUGGAAAUAGUCACUUGGAAAUUUAGGAGUUUUAGGAAAUUAUGCAUCAAAACUUAGGAAGAGGCGGCUCAUAUAGAAAUUUGUUGUUAAAUCAUAAUAUAUACUUUUACAUAUGAAUAUCUUUAUUGAUUUGGUUAAAAUUAUAAUUAAAAAAAUUACAAUACAAUAUAUAUAGAUUCACAUAAAUUUAAUACUGUAAGUUAAUUAUUAUUAUUAUUAUAUAUUAAUCUAAGUUCAAUACAAUAUAUAUAGAUUCACAUAAAUAGAACUUUUUGAAAAUCUUGAGUUUUUAAAUCAUCAACUUCAUAAUUAAUAUGGGUAAAAUGGUAAACUCACUAUUUCAAUAAUUAUUUUCUUAAUAGGUGUGUCAAUUCAAAAAUGGACAAGUAAUUAGGGAUAGAAAAAGUAUAUCGAAAUAAUAUAAUCAAAUAUUAUGCUAAAGAUAAUAAACAAAACUUUGAACAAUUAAUGUAUGUAUGUACAUAAAAUUUGGAGCAUCUAAAGAACCACUGACAAAUAGCUAUACGAAAGAUCAUAUACAAUUAAAUUACAAGCCAUUUGCAAUCAUCCUGCCACCUUAUGCAGAAAAAAUGAAAACGAACAAAACAAACACUCACACAUUUGGCUUCUGAUUUGACAUUUAUUUCAGAGAACUGGCUAGUCCUCAGAACACCUUAACUACUCGCUGCAAGAAAAAAAAGGCAACAAAAAAUAGGAAAAAUAAUAUAGUUAGAUGUCCAUAAUUAAGGAACAGGAGAACAUUAUAGACAAGAAUGAGCAUGCAGGUAUAAGAACUUACACAUUAUUGCGGCAAGAAGCAACUUCUUUCUCAAAGUCAACAUCAUCAUCUUCAUAUGUUGUCACACUCUUGGGAAUGCUAGCCACAAAAGAUGAAAAAUGAAAUGUUACACUUCCCAAAAUCAAGAAUGAACAUGCAAGUAUAACAACUUACACAAUAUUGGAAGGAUUCGAAUCAAUCACAAUGACAGCAUCAAGAACUUUGUUGAAUUGGUGCAAUUUGACUUACUAAAGCUAUUAUCCAGAUCAUUAUCGAGUUUACUAUGAUGAUGAGUUGUCAAAAUCACAACAGUGAAACCUUGUUGAAAUCACUCAACAUCAAAGGGAGCUUUGGAUACAAGCAGUUAUCAUCAGUGAUGAAGAAGAAAAGAACUGUUCAUGUAAAAUGCAAAGCUUCGCUUUGGAUGUAUUGAUCUAAUGAGUAUUUAUACAAGAAAUGUAAAACUAAUGCUCUGUAACAAACUAACUGAAAGGAAUCUUCUAACUAACUACCAGCUGUACUAUACAACACUAUUAACUACCAGCUGUACUAUACAACACUAUUAACUACCAGCUGUACUAUACAACACUAUUAACUACCAGCUGUACUAUACAACACUAUUAACUACCAGCUGUACUAUACAACACUAUUAACUACCAGCUGUACUAUACAACACUAUUAACUACCAGCUGUACUAUACAACACUAUUAACUACCAGCUGUACUAUACAACACUAUUAACUACCAGCUGUACUAUACAACACUAUUAACUACCAGCUGUACUAUACAACACUAUUAACUACCAGCUGUACUAUACAACACUAUUAACUACCAGCUGUACUAUACAACACUAUUAACUACCAGCUGUACUAUACAACACUAUUAACUACCAGCUGUACUAUACAACACUAUUAACUACCAGCUGUACUAUACAACACUAUUAACUACCAGCUGUACUAUACAACACUAUUAACUACCAGCUGUACUAUACAACACUAUUAACUACCAGCUGUACUAUACAACACUAUUAACUACCAGCUGUACUAUACAACACUAUUAACUACCAGCUGUACUAUACAACACUAUUAACUACCAGCUGUACUAUACAACACUAUUAACUACCAGCUGUACUAUACAACACUAUUAACUACCAGCUGUACUAUACAACACUAUUAACUACCAGCUGUACUAUACAACACUAUUAACUACCAGCUGUACUAUACAACACUAUUAACUACCAGCUGUACUAUACAACACUAUUAACUACCAGCUGUACUAUACAACACUAUUAACUACCAGCUGUACUAUACAACACUAUUAACUACCAGCUGUACUAUACAACACUAUUAACUACCAGCUGUACUAUACAACACUAUUAACUACCAGCUGUACUAUACAGGUUUUCAGUGUUCUAGUAGAUCUUCUAGGUUGAACAGAUACAUCAAUGAGAGGGGCAACAUGAUCUGGAGCAGUAGGUGGUUCAAGUAUACGAGAAACUGUGGAUGGUAAAGGGGAAUGAAUUAUAGGUUCAGAUGGCAAAUUGCAUGUGACAGGUGAUUCUCCUAGAUUAGUUUGAGAAAUGCAAGUGGUAGGACUGUCAGUAUGAUCAAAAAUGUCAACAAAAGGAACAGAAGGCAACACAGAGGAAGGAAUGGAAGGAGUUGAAUUUGUAUGAAAAGGAAAAAUGUGUUCAUAGAAAACAACAUCCCUAGAUACAUGUAUCCUCUUUGUGGACAGGUUAAGGACCUUAUACCCUUUAGUCUCAAAAGGAUAUCCAAUGAAAAUAUGAGGUGUAGUCCUAGGUUCAAAUUUUGUUCUAUGGGGUAUUGGAACAGUAGGGUAACAUAAGCACCCAAAGCUUCUCAUAUGAGAAUAAAAAGGCUUUUUGUUAUAUAAUGCUUCAUAAGGGGACUUAUUUUUCAACACAGUUGAGGGAAGUCUAUUGAUUAUGUAUGUGGCACACAAAAGACAGUCUCCCCAAUACUUUAUAGGGAGUUUAGAUUGGAAUAAAAGUGCUCUAGCAGUUUCAAGAAGGUGUUUGUGUUUUCUUUCCACCACACCAUUUUGUUGUGGUGUGUAUGGACAUGUUUUCUGGUGGAGGAUACCUUUGGUUUGAAAGAAAAGAGUUGUUUCUGAAUUGACAAACUCUAAGCCAUUGUCUGUUCUGACUGUCUUCACAGUGGUGUUAAACUGAUUUUCUAUCAUGGCAACAAAAACUUUUAAUGCUUGUAGAGCAUUGCUCUUGGAGCUUAACAAUGUGGUCCAUGUAGAUCUACUGAAAUCAUCUACUAUUGUUAUAAAGUACUUAAAAUGGUCAUGUGUAGGUGUAUGGUAUGGACCCCAUAAAUCUACAUGUAACAACUCAAAAAUGAAAGAAGUUAAAAAGGUUCUUGUUUUGAAAGGGAGUCUUUCUUGUCUUGCCAUAGGACACACUGAACACAUAAAAGGUUGUUGUGGUGAAAAACUAGCAGGGAUAGUGGAAAUGCAUUUCAUUUUGACAAAAGGAACAUGUCCCAAUCUAUUGUGCCACAGAACAUUUACAUCAUUUUUAGCAUGUGCAUGAUGAUCUGAAACUGUAUUAUGCAAAUGAGAAGGAGAAGCUGAAAAAGAAGGAACAUGAGACUUGGCAACAAAAUCUUUAUUUCUCAAAGUCCCUUUUUCAGGGUAAUGUGUACAUUUAUGAUUUUUCAAACAAGAAGUAUCAGCUGCAACAUGAGGUUUACAAGAAUUGCACAAAUUUAAAUUGCUAGAUGAGGUUGAGUCUUUCAGAAACAAUGAACUAGAUGGGUUGGAACUCUGGACACACUUGGGACAUAGAAAAUAUAGGCCAUCUUCUGCCCUACCAAUCACCAGAGGCCUCUUCAUUGAAGGGCCCUGCAUGUAACAAGAAACUUUGUUGAAACUGACAGUGCAAUUUGAAUGUGAAGUCAUGGUAUGAAUAGAGAUUAAGUUGUAUUUGAAAGAUGGAAUGAAGAAAACCUUUUUCAAACUAAUCAUGGGAGACAAUGUCACACUACCAAUUUGUGUUACCUUAACCUUAUAUCCAUUUGGCAAUACUACUAAUAUUGGAUAUGGGAGUGUGAUAAUAUUGUGCAGUAAGGAUAUGUUGAAAGUCAUGUGGUUUGAUGCUCCAGAAUCUAGUAUCCAUGAGUCAGACUUAUUUUUGAAACAUUCACAUGAUAGUUUCCCAAAAUCAAUAGAGGAGGUGCAAACUAUAGUACCUGCAAAGUCAACAGUGCCACCAGUGAAAUUUGAGUUGCCAUCAUCACCAUGCUCUCCCUGAAAAUGUUGAAGCAUGUCCUGUACUCGACCAUAUUGAUCUUUGGUAAGAUUCACACUGUACAUCUCCUCAUGAUUAGAGUUAUCUGCAGAUCUCUUCCCAUUCUCGGAAUCUUGUGCACAAUGGACAUUUGCGACUGCCCUAUGUCCAUUACCUUUGAAUCUAAUGCCCUGUGGAUUAUGUCCUCCUCGAACAUUGUUAAAUCUCUGAUUUGAGCCUUGGUAGUCAUUGUUUCUCUGAUUUGGAACUGGUUUGUUGGAAUUUGGAUUAGAAGAUUGGCGGUUGAAGGUUUGGUUUGAAUUGGAUGGAUAACCAUGAAGCCGAUAACACUUCUCAACAAGAUGACCAGUUCUCUUGCAAUAGUCACAGAAUUUGUCUUUGUACUGCAGAGAGGGUUUGGAAGUAUUUGUGGUAUAAUUUGUUCUGUAAUUGGAGGAUCUGCUGGUACCAACAUGUAACGCAGCAGACUCCAAGUUUGGGUGAUUGGCUGGCUUAAUUUCCCUCUGUUGUUCCUCCUGAACCAACAAGGAAAAAGCUUGCGCCAUAGAUGGCAAAGGAUUCAUCAUGAGUAUGCUACCUCGCAUUAUUGUAUAAACUUCAUUAAGUCCCAUAAGGAACUGAAUCAAACGACGAUCCUGCUCCACCUUGUGAACAAUUGCCUUGGCUCCACAAGUGCAAUCACAGGUGCAAUUAGCUUUGGCACUCAAAGUACUAAGCUCUUCCCACAACUUCUUCAAUUUGGUAUAAUAUCCAGUUAUAUCCAGUGAUCCUUGAGACGUAUCAUUGAUCUCUUUUUGGAUUUGAUACAGCUUCGCUCCAUUAGUUUGUUCAUACCUGUCCUCCAAUUCUUUCCAUAGCUCUGUUGAAUCCACAACAUACUCAACACUAUCAGCGAUUUCCUUCGAUAAGGAGUUAAGAAUCCAUGAUGUGACAAUGUCAUCACACCUUUCCCAUUGCCUGUAGGUUGGAUCAAUGCUUUUGGGUCGCCGACAUUCUCCAUUGAUGAAACCCAAUUUGUUCUUCACUGACAGUGAUCGUAGAACACUCCUCCUCCAUGAUCGAUAACCAAUCCCGGCAAACGGUACUGACACCAACAUAGCACCCGGAUUAUCAGAUGGGUGCAUAUAUAAGGGAUGGUUGGAAUCAAUUGAGGGAACGACUGAAUCACUUGACUGAGCAGAAUCACCUGGAAUGGCCAUUUCUCAGCAAGAAAAAAAAUCGAAGAACACCACAGAAGAAAACAGAGAAAAUUUGAUCUGAAAACGAAUACAAAUCGAACACCUCAGAAUCGAGUGUGCUCUGAUACCAUGUCAAAAUCACAACAGUGAAACCUUGUUGAAAUCACUCAACAUCAAAGGGAGCUUUGGAUACAAGCAGUUAUCAUCAGUGAUGAAGAAGAAAAGAACUGUUCAUGUAAAAUGCAAAGCUUAGCUUUGGAUGUAUUGAUCUAAUGAGUAUUUAUACAAGAAAUGUAAAACUAAUGCUCUGUAACAAACUAACUGAAAGGAAUCUUCUAACUAACUACCAGCUGUACUAUACAACACUAUUAACUACCAGCUGUACUAUACAACACUAUUAACUACCAGCUGUACUAUACAACACUAUUAACUACCAGCUGUACUAUACAACACUAUUAACUACCAGCUGUACUAUACAACACUAUUAACUACCAGCUGUACUAUACAACACUAUUAACUACCAGCUGUACUAUACAACACUAUUAACUACCAGCUGUACUAUACAACACUAUUAACUACCAGCUGUACUAUACAACACUAUUAACUACCAGCUGUACUAUACAACACUAUUAACUACCAGCUGUACUAUACAACACUAUUAACUACCAGCUGUACUAUACAACACUAUUAACUACCAGCUGUACUAUACAACACUAUUAACUACCAGCUGUACUAUACAACACUAUUAACUACCAGCUGUACUAUACAACACUAUUAACUACCAGCUGUACUAUACAACACUAUUAACUACCAGCUGUACUAUACAACACUAUUAACUACCAGCUGUACUAUACAACACUAUUAACUACCAGCUGUACUAUACAACACUAUUAACUACCAGCUGUACUAUACAACACUAUUAACUACCAGCUGUACUAUACAACACUAUUAACUACCAGCUGUACUAUACAUAUAUAUACAUACAUCAUACAUUAUAAUCUCAACAAAUAUUAUUGUAAUUUGUAAAUCAAGGAAGAAGAUGUCUUACAAAAGCUCACGAGUAUGGACCUCGAUAGAGCUUCCAUAGUUGUCUUGAAUGUCCUGUUGAAUUUGCUUGGCGGAAUUCCCAACAGAUUGUUGACAUUUACUUAUAUCAAUAAGAGCAAGUGUGGUUAUAUCUGCAAAAUCUCGAGGGAUUGAAUCCAAAGAAUAGCAAUCUUUAAGAAAAAGUCGUUCAAGGUACGGAAAGUGAUCACUACUAGCUCUCCAGUACUGAAUGUAUACGUCAUCCAGAGACAAGAACUUCAAGUGAGGAAACCCUUCCUCAACUACUUCCCACUCCUUGCCUUUGAAGGCAUUGCCUGAUAGUUUAAGGACCUCGAGUUUGGGUAAUUUACCAACAAUGCUCAAAUCCCUCCAUGCCAAAGAGAAUUCUCCCCUAAAAGUUAAACUCUUAAGGUUUUGUGGAAAAGCAUCCGGAGGAGGUAAGAGUAAAGUUGGAACAUCAGUUGGAGGUGCAGUUCCCCCAAAAUCAGUCUCUUUGUGCAAUGUUUCCGUCUGAAACCUCAGAGGAUCUUGCGGAGUAUAACCUGAAGGUGCAGUGUUUUUUAGAAAGCAAGCAUCAUAUGGAUGAUAAAAACCAAAUGCCAAUUUCUCGAGCUGAUACAAGUAGCGAAAAUCAUACAGGUCCUUGUGAUUGCGAAAGUCCUCUCGGACGCCAAAUACUUCCAACUUCUUUAAAUUGGGAAAUAGUCUAAAAAAAGACUCUGUACAAUACCGAGGAUUCAAUUGAUUGAGGCAUUGCAAACUUUUCAAAACCAAUCUGUUCUCUGUAGGCUCAUGACUCCGCAAGUAAUUCCAGCCAAUACACAGCGUCCUCAAUUGUGGCAUCGUCAAAAUUUCCGAUGGUAAUAUGAAAGGAUAACCUACUUUACAGGUAAAUGGAGAGUAAAGUUUAAAAGUUUGCAGAUAGCAUAGGCUUGAUAUCGAUAGAGGAAUGUCUAUUAUUGAUGAGGGAACAGCUUCUUUCGAUCUUAGAUACUGCAGUACGCAAGGAUAAAAACACAAACAUAGGUAUCUCAAAUGAAUUAGAGAAAGUACUCCACUGGGAAAGAUUGGGCAUAUAGUCAAACCAAGAUCUAGUACUCUUACUAGCUUGAAAGACAAUUCCAGUGUGACGCAUUUGAAUAAACGCAACAUGAUAAUAGAAUGAGCCUCACUGUUAUGACACCAAGCCAAUUCUUCCUCCUUAUAGAUACUGAUCCGACUUCGACUCUUAAAGGAACACUGCAUGGAUUGUGCACAUGAAUUUUGAUCACUCUUUCCUCUGAUAACAUUCACAAAAUUCAUGUUUCGAGCUUCCUUCAAACAGAGUUCACGGGUCACAUCAUGCAUUCCACAUCUCUCUAUUUCCCCAUCAAAACUCAAAUUGUGGAUAGAAAUUAGACUUCUAUCUACAAGUUCGUUUAUACAUGUUUCUGCCACCUCUUCUAUGCUUUUUCCCUCUUCUUCAUUCAAAAACCCCUCUACAGCCCAUAACUCAACAAGUUCACUUACAUAAAUCUGUUCAUCCUCUGCGAAAAUUGCAAAAUACAGAAAACAUGGUUUUAGGUGAGAAGGCAAGUGAUGGUAACUCAAAGCCAACACUCUCAUGCAUUUUGCUUCAAGAUCUGUGCUUACCACCGAACUUACAUUCUCCGCAACAUUUUGCCACUCAUCCAAUGUUUUACUGAUUUUGGAGAGAAGUCCAGCAAUCACAGUAAUUGCUAGAGGUAACCCUCCACAUUUUAAUGUCAAUUUGUUUCCCAAUAUUUUCAAAUUCAGGAGAAUAAGAACCUUCUUUUUCAAAGAUCUUUUGUGUAGUAAAUUCCAACUUUCGUCAAAAUUCAUGAGGCGCAUAUGAUGAGGAGGCUUACCUGAACUAGCAUAUUCAGCCACUUCCACAUUCCGAGUAGUCAGGAGUAUUCUGCUUCCAUUAUUACAGUCUGGGAAACAUUGUUUUAUAUCAUCCCAAGCUUCUGUAGUCCAUAUGUCAUCAAUGACUACCAAGUAUCUCCUGCCUUUCAGAUUCUUUUGCAGUCGGUCCGCUAGCUGAUCAUCAGGUUCAUUACUUAUCGAAGAAAGAAGGCCUAGGAUUACAUUUCUCACACAAUACUCUUGUGAAACAGUUGCUUUUGCACGAAUAUCAAAUCGAGACAUAAUGUAAGGAUCACUAUAGAGUUUUGUAGCCAAAGUUGUUUUCCCGAUACCUCCCAUCCCUACGAUUGAGACAACUUCUAGUUCCCUUCCUCCUCUAGCAAGUUGAUCCAGCAUCAUCUCAAAUUCAUUUUCACGGCCAACCAUUAUAUUCUCGGGCUGCUCAACAUCAUGUUCAGGUAAACUGACAAGUGAGCUAGUUUGUGGUUUUAGAUCUUUCAUGCUGUCCGAUGCUGCCAUCCACUGUUUCACGGUGGAAUCAAUGCAUUCUAGUGCUUGUUCCAAGACGAAAAAAAUCUCCCACAUAGCCCUGCUUCUUUCCUCCAAAUUCUGUGCUAAAAAAACAUUUCUUGAUUCCGAGUCAACCAUAUCUUCUGUUGUGUAUGCUACCUCUACGAUUUCAACUUCCAAGAUUGUUAACUCCUCAUGAUCGCCCGUUAUAUUGCAGGAAUUCUCCAGAAUAGUUCUUAAAGAUUCGAGCUUUUCAUAAAACGGUUGCAAAUCACAUCCAGUAAGUUCCAUUGAUUGAUGUAUGGUUCUCAUAAGGGAAGUAACAGCAGCAUAAGCCAUAUAUCCAAAAAAUAGAAAUAUCUCUCAGUAUGAAAAUGGACAAAUUGCCACAAGUCAUGUAAUUUUUCAGUUUUUAAGAAAACAGAAAAUGCAAACUUCUUUCUUUUACUAGGCUAUUUCCAUCACAUUUCCAGCUAGGUCCACCAACCUUAUCAUCAUGUAGACAAAAGCAGAGACCAAAGUUUAAAAAAAGAAAAAGAAAAAAAGACAGGAUUCUAACUGGAAAAAGUUGAAAAAAUUGUGACCAUUCAUUAUUAUACCUUACACUUAUCUAUUCAUGAAUAUAAGUAGGGAAAAGGGCCUCAUUUACCCUGAACUUUAUGAUUUGGAGCUGAUAUACCCUUCGUUUAAAAAAUGGCCCAUAUAUGCCCCUGCCGUUAUAGAAAUGGCUCAUAUAUGCCCUUUUACUUAACAGACCAAUAUUUAAUAAAUUAAAAAUUCAUUUUUUUAUGCUUUAAUUUGAGAAAAUGCCACGUGGCUCUUAAAAUACCCCACCCAAUAACUUUUCAGCAACCCGACCCAAUGGAAACAAGAAAACCCCAUCCACUUAAAUAAACCUAGCCCAUUUCAUUCUAUGGUCUCCACUCUCCACGCUUGACAUGAAAAAAAAUCAAAAACUUGUUAGGGUUUCAGUGAGCUCUAAACUGGUGUCAAUCAAUCUCAAUAAUGUUCAAAAUCUUAGGUAAGUUUCGAUUAUUUUCUUCCCUUACUUUUAAGGAUCUUUGGUGUUAAAAAUAUAGGAUAAUAUGUGAGAAAAGUGUAACUGAGUUUACCUAUGUGCUUUUUUCCCUUGACAUUCUGUCCAUGGAAGGUUUAUUUUCUUACUUUAAUACAUGAGUUUAUCUCUUUGUAUGCAGAGAUGGAAUCUUUGUUGGUCCCCAAAUAGUUAUUGUCUCUUUAGUAUUUUAAAAUUCAUUUUUCAAUUGGUUGGUGUUAAAUGCUAAGGUGGUCCCUUAUGUCUAAUUUAUUUGCUUGUUGCAGGUGUCAUUUUGAAGGAUGAUUAAAGAAGUGGAUAUUGUUUUCAACUAUGGGGGCAAUAGGGUAAUUUCCCCAAAGCUGGGAUACAAUAUAAAAUUUCAGCACACCUGGUAUUAUAAUACUUGUUUAGUUUGUUAUGAUGAUUUGUGUGAAGCUUUUACUUCCAAAUUUGGAUUUAAGGAAGUUCAACAAUUGUUGGUCACUGGUCCAUCUGGUACUUAUUAUGUAAUUGAAGAUAAUGAUGGAAUUAAGACUCUUCAAUACUUAUUUUCAGAAGAUUUCAAGGUAAUAGAUUUUUAUGUUGUAGAUGCUCAUGAAUUGAGAGUUUCUGCCACAAAUAUCAUAUAUCAUACUGAAUCAUAUUUUGUGGAUGUUGAAGCUGCUACUGAUUGUGAUUAUAGUGAUGUGGAGGAUGAUACUCUUUAUGAAAUGGGCAACAGUUGUGAAAUUGUUGAAUAUAAUGUUGAAGUGCUUCAACGUUAUGAACAUGAAAAAGAGAGAGUUGUGAGUGAUGGACUUGAAAAGUUUAAGGAAUUAGAAAUGGGUAUGACCUUUAAGACUAUUGAAGAACCUAGGCAGGUUGUUAGCUUUUAUGCUAUGGCUAACAAAAGAAGUUGAAAACAAAAAAAAGUGAUACAAAAAGAAUUAGGUAUGAGUGUUAUGAUGGUUGUCCCUUUUACUCUUCUCAUAUCUAAGGAUGGAAAAUCAGCAACAUUUAAGGUUAAAACAUUGAUGCCUAAGCAUACUUGUGGUGAUUCUUUUGUUAAUCCAUUGGAAACUUAUCAUACCUUGGCUGUUUAUUUUAAGGAUGAAGUUCUAAACAAUCCAAAAUACCCUAUCAAAGACAUGAGAGGAAUUCUUGAAAAAAAAUUCAAGUUGAAUGUCUUAAGAUCCAAACUAAAAAGAGCCAAAACAAUGGCUCUUGAUAAGUUGGAAGGCAGUUUCAAAGAUGACUACAAUAGGCUUGAAGCUUAUGGUCAAGAACUUAGACAAUCAAAACCAGGAUCUGAUGUGGUAAUUAAUAUCUCUAAAGAUGCACUUGAACAAGGCAUAAGAAGGUUUUUGAGAAUGUACAUUUGCUUCAAGGCUUUGAAGGAUGGAUGGAAAAGUUUGAGACCUAUAAUUGGUUUAGAUGGAACAUUUCUCAAAGGAAAAUGCAAGGGGCAACUAUUAGUAGUUGUUGGGCAAGACUCAAUGAAUCAUUUUUACCCAAUAGCUUGGGCAGUGGUGGAAAAGGAAAACACAGGAACAUGGACAUGGUUUAUUCAGUUGUUGAGGAUUUCGUUGGAGUUGAAAAAUGGUGAAAUUGUGACAUUUAUGUCUGAUAUGCAAAAGGUAGCUUUAAAUUUAUUUUUUUCUUAUUGCCUUUUCUUUAUCUUUUUUCUUACUGUCAUUUUUUUCUUUUCGAUUUUUAGGGCCUGUUCGAUGUUGUAGCUAAUGUUGUUCCAGAAGCACACCAUAGGCUUUGUGUGAGGCAUAUAGAAUCUAACUGGUGCAAGAAAUGGCGGAGUGGUGAAGAGAAAAAAUUGAUGUGGUGGUGUGCAUGGAGUACCUAUGAAGAAGAAUUCAAAGACACUUUGAAGGUGUUAGGAAAGGUGGAUGAAGAUUCAGCUAGUGAUCUUCUUCAUUUUCCUGUAAUUAAAUGGUGUAGGGCAUAUUUUGAUACUCAAUGUAAGAAUCUAAUGGUAGACAAUAACUUCACCGAGUCUUUUAACAGUUGGAUACUUGAAGCUAGAAAAAACCAAUCAUUAAAAUGUUGGAGGAAAUUAGAGUGAAGGUGAUGAAUAUGUUGGUGAAAAAUGAAAAAAUGGGCAGAAAAUGGCAAAAUGAUAUCAGUCCAACGGUUAUGAAAUUGUACAAUGACUAUCGAUUAAUGGCUACCAAUGGUACAGUUGAGUUCAAUGGAGAUUAUGGUUAUGAAGUGAAAGAUGGAGACACGGACACACAUACAGUGAAUUUGGAGUUGAAGAAAUGCAUUUGUAGAUUAUGGGACUUGGGUGGAAUACCGUGUCACCAUACCAUCAAGGCAAUUUUGCAUAAAAAAACUGAACCAUUGGAAGAGGUUCAUUACUGCUAUAAAAAGAGGCUUAUUUGUUAACAUACAAGCACAAGUUGCAACCAGUUAGGGGUUCUCAAUUCUGGAAAAUCGACCAUGCUCAAGCAAUGGAACCUCCGAAAAUGGUAAAACUUGUUGGCAGACCCAAGAUGAAAAGAAAUAAAGAAACUGAUGAGGCAAGUUUGAGAAAGGGGGCAUGGAAGCAGUCAAGAAAAGGAACUCUAAUGAGAUGCAACAAAUGUGGUGAUUUCAAUCACAAUGCUAAGGGAUGUUAUAAGGUAAUCUCUCUUAAUAUUUUCUUUUAGUUAAAAGGUGUUCAUUUUUGUCAAUCACAACAAUUUUUUUGGGUUGAAGGACCAUGAAGACGGUGAAAGUUAGCAUGAAAGAAAUAAGAAAGCAAGCAAUCAAAAGUCGAGGAGUUGAGCAAGAAAAAACUCUAUUGUAGAGUAUGAGACAGAAGCUUCACCCCAACAAUUUCAGACAAAACAGUCGACUGCCUAUGGUCCUAAGAUCGGGAAUGAUGAAGAUCCAGCAUUGCGACCAAUGGUAAUUUUUGAGACAGAAACAAGGAUGGAAAAGAGGUCUCGAAUAUUUGAAGGAAUAGGAAGCAGGAAGAUUGUUUUUUAAGGGGAUGCAAGAGGAAUCUCGACCCCUUCGGAUCUACCAUAUUCACCAAAGAAGACUACUUGAAAGGGCAAGAAAGCAGUCACAAUUGAUCAGUUACAAGCUGAAGUAAAGAAGAAAAGAGUGAAACAAAUGGCAAUGAAGGGCAAAUGGCCCGUGGAUACUAAUGAUGAUCUAGUUUAGAAGUCGUUGUGUGGUUGAUCAUUUUUUGACAUUAGGUGGUUAUUUUGGAUAGUAUUAUAUGAUGUAAAUCCAAACAAUUUCUUUUGUUGCUAACCAUAUAAUAGAUAUUUGUGGUUGGUUUAACCACCAGAAGGUUAAUCUUCUUUUGCUGGUAACUUGUGUUAAGAUAAUUUUAUAAAAAUUGAGAAUUAUAUUCUACUGCAUCUGGUGUAAUUAUUGUUGAUUGUAUUUUGUGUGAGAGAGUAAAUUUAUGUGCUUUGAUUGGUAGCGUUGUUUAAAUUACGACUAAAAUUAGCAUUGUUCACGAUCUUCUUUGAACUAGUAGAUAGCUCACAGAUGAUUCAACGUGGAAUGUCAAGGAGUCAUUGAUGAUUCUCUAUCAUUUUACCUCGAGCUUUUGAUUCUCUUUCAUUACUAAAUAAUACAAAAGUUGACAAAAUCACUACACAAGACCAAAUAAGGUGAAUCAAAAGUUGUCAUAAAUCAAUACAAUGAACCAAAAGUUAAUUACACAUAAGUCACAAAACUGCAAAUGAGAUGAAAAAGUUUAGUCGCAUAAUAUGGCCUUGGAAUCUAUCAUUUAAAUUCCCAGAAAAGAUAUGAUCCUACAAAGUACUACUAUAUUUCCAAAUUUUACAAACUUUUUGCCUCAGUGAGUGAAGAAAAGAACCCAACUAAGCAACUGAAUGUAAAAUAACUUCAAACUUUUCUCUCGAAUUUUAAGAUUUCAUAAACGCAAUGACUCCGUCCACAGUUCGUUCGCGAACACUCUGAAUAUGUGGUGUGACGGCCAAUAAAACUUCAGCAGACUCUUGAUUUUCACUUGUAGCUGCAAGAUGUAUUAGCAUGUAAUUAUCACUGACAGUAUCCCCUGCCUUUACCACACAACGAAAGAAUGAACUGCCGCAACUGCUAGCAGAGGACACAUAUUAUCAUCUCCUAUUUGAGCAUCAAAAUUAGCAUGGUGUUUUAGCAAAACCGUAAUAGCAUCUUCCUGGCUGCGGUCUACAACGCAUAUUAAUGGUGUUCCAACAUCAACAUCACUUCGCAAAUCAACGUCUACACCUAUCGGUAGAAACAAUUUAACCAAUUCAAUAUGCCCAUUUCCUGCAUCAUUAAAUGGACAAAAUAAAACACAUAAGAAUAUCACUUCAAGCAAAGAAUAUCAAGAACAAAUUUACCCUAUAACUCUAACACCAAAGGUCCUUAAAAGAAAAGGGAAGAAAGUAAUCGAAACUUACAUAAGAUUUUGAACAAUAUUGAGACUGAUUGACGCCAAUUUAGAGCUCACCGAAACCUACCAACAUUUUGAUUUUUUUUCUUGUUGAGCGUGGAGAGUGGAGACCAUAGAAUUAAAUGGGUUAAAGUUUAUUUAAGUGGGUGGGGUUUUCUUGUUUUCAAUUGGGUCGGGUUGGUGAAAAGUUAUUGGGUGGGGUAUUUUAAGAGCGAUGUGGCAUUUUCUCAAAUUAAAGCAUAAAAAAAUGAAAUUUAAUUUAUUAAAUAUUGGUCUGUUAAAUAAAAGGGCAUAUAUGGGCCAUUUCUAUAACGGCAGGGACAUAUAUGAGCCAUUUUUUAAACGGAGGGUAUAUCAGCUCCAAAUCAUAAAGUUGAGGGGUAAAUCAGGCCCUUUUCCCAUAUAAGUAUGUUUCUUACAUACAAGAGAUUGAUGAUUUUAAUUCCAUUGAAAGCUACUUAGUAGAAUUUUCCAAAUCAAAGAGAGAGAAAUAUUAAGAUCCAAGUAGGAAUUUCUCUAUUCCUAGUUCGAUUCAAUUAACCAAGCAUAAAUAUCUCUUAAUAUACAAGAGAAGUUUAGACUCUAAAAGUCAAAUCAACAAAAUAUUGAUGGGCUAACACAUGAAAAACUACUGAGAAAAUCGCCUAAUUCCUGUAAAUUGUCCCUUAAAUACCCAAAAUGGACUCUAAAAAUUGUUAGAAUGUACGUAUUGCUCCCCCAACUCCCUACUGAGGGUUUUGUAAAGAUUUCGAUUAGAAAUCGUCCAUAAGUCAUAUCACUAAUAUAUUAAUGGUUAACACACACGACAAACUGAGAAAAUUAUCUAAUUUCUUUAAAUUGGCCCCUAAAUGCCUAAAAUGGACUCUAAAAGUUGUGAGACUGUACAUACUGCUCCCCCGACUCCCUACAGAGGGUUUCGUAAAUGUGUAGCAAAGAAAUCGUCUGAAAGUCAUAUCACUGAAAUAUUAAUGGGCUAACACAUACAAAACACUGAGAAAGUCGCCUAAUUCCUGUAAAUUGGAAUUCUAAAAUUGUGAGACUAUACGUAUUGCUCCAUUAACUCUCUAUGGAGGGUUCCGUAAAGAUUUCACAAAGAAAUUAUUCGAAAGACUUAUCACCAAAAUAUUCAUGGGCUAAUACAGACGAAUUGAGAAGAUCACCUAUUUCCUAUAAAUUAGCCGUGGGAUACCUAAAAUGGACUCUAAAAAUUGUGAGACUAACUCCCUACGAAGGGUUCCAUAUAAGUUUCGCAAAAGAAAUCAUUCAGAAAUCAUAUCACCAAAAUAUUUAUGGAUUAACACACACGAAAAAUUGAAAAAAUCGCCUAAUUCUUUUAAAUUGGCCCCUUAAUCCCUUUACGAGAUUAAUUAGAGAUGCGCGAGCGCGCGCACACACACACAUACACACACAUAUAUAUAUAUAAAGAAGAGAAGCUAGUUGUAGGGUUUGAUUGCCAUAAAAUACUUAGACAAUGUGGGUGACGCACAUUGUGAAUCUCAUGAAUUGACUCGUGGAUCAUUGUGAUAUUGGCCCAUGAAACUUAGUCUUAGGGAAAGAUUGUUGGGUGUGAGAUUGAAUUUCCACAUUUGAGAAGCUAUAUAUAAGGUGUAGGAUCUCUUAAGGGAAAAUUUCAUGUAUGGAAAACGUAUUUAAUGAAAUAACGCUCUAUAGGUAUAGUUUAGUAAUUACAUUCAAUGGGUAGUUUAGUUUGCUAUGAAGCAUUAAUUUUGUAUAUAAUGUUUUUUUUAAAAAUAAUUUAUACAAUAUUUUUUUUAAUAAAUGGAUACAUGAGCGCUAAAUACAGUAACAAAAAAUUUACAUAAUCCCAUGAUUCAAGCUAAUCGUUCAAAAUCAAAUAUUUUUCCAAAAAAGAGUUCUAUAGCAAUAGAAACACCAUAACAGCUGGUUUCCUCAAACGACUGAAGCAUACGAUUAAUCAAUAUUCUUGUAUAUUCAACACCAGGUAAGCGUUUCUUUCAAGGAAACUUCAUGUUUUGAACGGCAAGAAAGUAUACAAUUGAUUUGUAUAGUAUAUAAUUGAAAUUUUGGAAAACGGAUUAUUUUUGUUUUGUUCAUUCUAAUGGUUCGCAAUAAUUUAAUUUUGUUUAUACAAUAUUAGAUAAAUUUUAUAUUAACAAUUCAAUUCUAAUUUUUUGUUCAAAAAAUUGAAUGACACAAUUUGUAUAUAUGAAGUGUAUAUGAUUCGACAACAAUGGUGUGCUUUAAUUUGCUAAUUUUUGUUGUUGUUGUUGUUGUAAUUUUACUGUAUAAAUAAGUUAUACGAUUUGUAUAUUGUUUAAUUGGUAAUAUUGUAUAUAUGUAAGUAAUUGUAUACAAUUAUUAUACCAUAAAUAAGUGUAAGUAGUUGUAUAAAAUUACUAUGACAAUUAUAUAUAUGAAUUGUAUAUGAUUCAAUAAAAAAGGUGUGCUUUAAUUUGAUAAUUUUUGGUGUAACCUAAUGUUGACACCCAUUUUUGGACCUCCACAAUAUAUAUUAAUUCUCGAGCUUCUUAGAUUUCAAAUGAUUUGGAGUUAUUAGUUUAUAAAAUUUAAAUAUUUUUUAAAAAGAUUUUUGAAGCGAUUUAGUCGGCUUUAUAAUAUUUUAGAUAAUAGAUGGAUUUUACAUAAUUACUUAUAUAAUCAACGUGUAUUAUUAGCAUUUGGAAAUCAUCUUGAAAUAUUUUGCAUUUUUUAAAAUUAACUAUGUUAUUAAUUUAGUUUAGUAUAAAUUAAAGUUAUGAUUCUGAGUUAUUUGAAUUAGUUAGUUUAUAAUUAAAUUGUUUAUUUUAUUUUUGUUAAGAUUAAGAAGCUUGUUAAUUAAUUAAUAACAAUUCAUCUUAUUUAGACUUUGGCCGAAUUCACCAAUUAAUCCCAAUUUGGCUAAGUUUUAACUCUGAAUGGUUAUAAUCGUAAUCCAUUUAGCCCUUCUUGAUAUUGCAAUUUUAACCAUUCUCUAACCUUACCUCUAGCUUAUUUAAAUAAUCACCAAGGGGCUUUUAUCCUUGAUUACAUUUUCAGCAACACCCAAGCCCAUUUUUCCAUCAGCGUACAAUUAUUUCCAGCCAAUAAACUCCAGCAGUCCAUACCCACCCUCCAAUUCCCAUUACAGCAUACAACAAUUCCCAGUGAUUCAAACAUACACGUAGAGCAGCACCAACCGACCCCAUCCCCUUUAUUUCGCUCAUCUCCUCGUCCGUUUCAAAGUAAUAUUCUGGUGUUUGGAAGCAUCUGUUCUGUGAUUGUUCGUUGUUAUUUUUCAUAGGAUUGAUGAUGUUUUUAACGUAUUAAAUGUACACUUAAUUGUUUCCAUCAGUUAGUCCUAAUAUGGGGUCAAGUUCCGGAGAGCCAUUAAAGUUUUAUUUUGUUGUAUUUCUUUUCUUGAGCCUGCUCCUCGAACAUCGUCGAAUCUAUGUUCUUUUCGCUUUAGCAUCUUGAAUAUUGAAAGUUCCAUUCACUUUAUUACUGCUAAUGUUCUCUGUUCUUCCUUUGAGAUGAGGAAAAAUCUUCCGUACAAAUUGUAUGUUGUUGUAGCUGCUGUUCGGUAGGCAUAAGUGGUUAUUUUCUUCUUGAUUAAAUUUCAUGGCCGUCCUAUUUUGCAUUGCGAAUGUGUAACUGUUUAUUUGGUUUUUAUUCCUCCUCAUUUUCAGCAUAUUUCCAUAAUUUUGGUUGAGUGUAUUGCUUAUUCUAACUUGAAGCUAAAUGUUUAUAAUAAUUUCGUUGGUUGUCUGCUUAAAUGUGGGCUGAAUAUCAAUACUAUUCUUUCUAAAUGUUAAGUUAUACUCGUUCUUUUUGGUUUUUUUUCUUCCGAGGAUUUGCUUUCGACUAUAGUUCUGUUUCUUUUGUGCGUGUGUUUGGAGGUCGGCAUUUGGUUUUAUGCCAGCCUAGUUUUACAUAUCUCUUUUCACUUUCAUGGAAACCUUUGAUGUUAUAGCUCUACUUGUCGGAUUAGGUUUAAAAAAAUGAAAUGCAUCUUUGUUCUUCUCAAAUUUGUUCCAUGUUUUCUUGGUUUUUUAAAAAAAAUGGUAUAGCUGAUUAAAAUAGCAUUAGUUUAGCUCGAGAUUUCCUUAAUACCGUGUUGCUAUUUAUUCUAUCUCGCAUCUUAUAACUCGAUAUUAUUUGUCUUGGGUUCUUUGUGGCUUUUAUUUCGAAAGUUUUGCCUUGCUAUCGUGUCAAUUUUCGUGCUUGUUGUUUGUAGCUGCUUGAGAAAAUAUGAAUGACCACUUUAUAAAAAAAAAAAAAAAAGGAGUUAGAAUCAACAAUGGGUUGCUGUUUGAAUAAUUGACCUUCAGCUUAUUUUGCUCAAAUGUUAAGUCACGUAUGUUCCCAAACACGGUUCGUAUACAAUGGUACACGUGAUGUGUAUACACAGAUUUCUUGAAGGAAAAUGGGGGGCAAAAGCCCAAGGAAAUUUCAGCAAGUCCAAGAUUUGGGCCUAAUUUGAUAUUCCUCUCCUUGCUCUUAUUUAUUUUGUUAUAUUUGACUAACGUUUUGAUUAUCUUAUGAUUUAAUCUAAUUAAAUUUUCCAAGAAUGGUCAUUUCAUUUUAUUUUUCGAAUUAAAGUAUAUAUAUUUUAUUACUUAGUUUUUAUUUUAAUAUUUGUCUUGUUGACAUUUUAUGAACUAUUUCCCUUUAGAAAAUUCUCCUUUAGUUCAUUCCCCCUUAAGAUAAAUAAAAUGAUAAAAAUAAUAGUAAUAAAUAAAUGAGUUCAUUUACUUAGCUAAAUUUUUUUUUAAAUAAGUUAAAAUAAAUGAGUUCUUUUACUUAGUUAAAAUUUCAAAAAUUAGUCAAAGUCGUUAUGAGCUCUUUUAUACUUAGUUAAAAUUUCAAAAGUUAGUCAAAGUCAUUUUUAGUCAAAUCGUCGGUCAACCGCAAGUUAGCGGACAUUUUGAGGGCCUAACACCUUCUCGGAAUGUACAUUGAACUCGAACCCUUUUUCAAUUGAUUUUAUCUGUUUGAGUAUUUUGAAAAUCUUAAGUUUUUUCUUGAGUUUUACUAAAAAAAUUAAGUGGCGACUCUAUUCUUUUGGAAAUCGAUUUCUCUUAAACUACAAGUUUAAUCGAUUUUUUCGAAAUCCUAGUCAUUUUUCUUUUAUAUAUAUUUUCGAGUAAAACACCUAACUGUAUAUAUAAUAAUGUAAGGUUUGUAUAUUGUUUAAUUCAUACUAUUGUAUAUAACUUACAAAAUAUACAAAUAUAUAUAUAUAAUACAAUUAUGAUUUAAGCAAAAAAUAUACAUAUACUUCAAGCAAUUUUGUAUAUAACUAACAAAAUAUACAAAUAUCUAAAUACAAUUGUGAUUUAAGCAGAAAAUAUACAUAUAUUUCAAACAAUUUUGUAUAUAACUAACAAAAUAUACAAAUAUCUACAUACAAUUGUGUUUUAAGCAAAUAUUUGAUGUUCUUGAUCUAAUGAAGGAGACACAACCUCCUCAGAAUCACUAUCUUUGGCUUUCCUCGUACUUCCUCCUUCAACAACUUUAAUGUCGCUUGCCUUAACAUUGUUGAUGACUUCUGGGAGUGCAAUUGGGUCAUUUUUUUUCUUGGAUCUCAAUUCUUCAAUAGAUUUUUCCUGUAGAAUUUGUUUAGAUUUUUCCAUAGACCCUGCAUUGACUCCAAAAUCUUGAGUUAAACCGAGUGAAAAUGAAGGUUGAUUAUUAAAAACUUUGACAUGCAAUGACGUACCUCUCGCAAUCCUCUUAGAUGGAGUCGAAUCAUCCAUUUUAUUUUUUGUAAAAAUGAUAUAUAAUAAGUAAUGAGGGAAUUUUGAGAAAAAAUUAUCCAAACACUAACAUGCACAAUACAUAUACAAUUGAAAAAUGAAAAAGAAAAAAAGAAAAGAGGUUCACCUACGAUUUAUGCGGUUACCUGCAAAAAGUAAAACACGAUUGGAGGGAGAAAGUGAAAUUCGAAUUUCAAAUUGAUUUUAGGAGAAAAACAGGAAAUGAGGAGAGGAGAGGAGAGGAGAGGAGAGGAGAGAUAAAUUUAAUUUUGUAUAAAAUCAUAUACAAAGACCGAUGAAGGCUUUGUUGAUUCGGUAUACAAAGUGGUGGUGGGUCUCAUUAUUAAUGGCGAAAAAACUGAAAUUGUAUUUACUAACAGUAAAUAAAUUAAAUUAUACCCUCAAUGACUAAUAGCCUAGUAAUAUUUGCCAACUCACUUAAUUUUUCCAUAAUGUGUGAGACUUUUUGAAAGAAAAAAAAAUUGUGCUAACUUGGUUAAAGUGAACAAUUAUCAUACUCUAUUUAGAAUAUCUUUGGGCUAAUUUAUCCGAACAAAAACAAAUAAGUCCCCAAUCUAAGACCAUUAGCCGUUACUUGAAGACAAGACAUUCAUCAUUUGAACUAUUGAAUUAUGGACACAAGUCAAAGAAUCUUCCAACUAUUCAAGAAGUGUAAUUAAUACUUAAUAAAUAUAAUGUCAUCCUCAAUAACUUCAAAUAAUAUCCAAUAAUCAAUAUUAAAUUUUGAUAUUAAUAGAAAUAGUUAAUGAACCCCAAGUUGUAUAAUUUGAUUGUUGGGAUAAAAGAUAAAAGUCAAUCAAAAAUUUAAUUUUUUUAAGAAAUAAUCUUUUAAUUGUGAUUCAAUAAUGUAAUAACACAAGCAAUUACAAUACAUAUAAAUUUGCCAUGUCAGCAUAUGGUGUUCAUGAGUGCGUGUAUGACAAUAGUAAAAGUAUCUAUUUGGUCUUUUAGAUAAAUUUCAGUAUCUAAAUUACAAUUUUUGUCAAAUUUGAGGGAUUAUCUAGAUAUUUAGAUAAAAUUAUUUAUAUAUAAUUAUCUCUAAAUAGGCUCAUAAGCCAGUAAAUGAUACUUUAUAAAUAACUUCAGUUGUAAGUGUUUCUCUUACAAAUUCAAAUUAAUCCAAUGACAAAACCUUUUUAUGAUUUGACUGAAGAGGUUUCUGUGUUGCUGGUAUAUCAAGAUGAGGAAUUGGUUUCUAGUAAAUCAAAUGGUUGAUUUACUAGAGUUCAAUGGAUACAAAGGUGAUAUAUCUAGAACUAAUUUCUAUAUGACUUUCAUUAUAUAGAGAGAGAAUUAAUUGAUACGAUGUUUAUUUAGAACUUUUCCUUUCCUUGUUAUCAUAACAUUAUUUCUAUGCUUGUGUAUGUUGUGUUACAAGUUAAUAAAUGAAUUUGUAUGAUUAUAAGGAAUUAAAUUAGAUUCUUCAUUUUUGUUUUUGUUGUAACCAUGUCACUGACUCGAUUAGCUUUCUCCAUAAGGAUUGUGUAAUUUUUCAAAGAGGUUCAAUAAUUUUAUGUUAAAGUAUGUGUUGUUCUAAUUUUAUCGGAUAUUUUUCCAUAAAGGAGAUAGUUUAAGUUUAUGUUAAUAUUAAUUAUUUCACACUUGACUUUUUUGUACAAAAAAUAAAAAGGAAACUUAUUCUUUGUCAAUCGGGCCUAGAGUGACAUCGUGUUGGAGGAGAAAAUAAUUAGGACCCUCAUAAAUAAUUUUGAAAUCAUAGAUCUUUGAUUUUUACAAAUCUAUAUAUUGUUUUAGAAAGAAAACACAUUCACUUGGAUGAUUGAGGCACAAAAUAAGAGUAAGAGAUUGAAGAGAAGAGCGAGAUAAAGACAUGAUAAGAGAUGAUUUGGCUAUCAUUAUUGUCUGAGAUGACUUUUUUUUGUCUUUUAUUCAAUGUAGACAAACAAAUAAAUAGGGACAUGUGAUUUUCAUGAUUUUUUUCUUCUAUUUUUUUUUUUUGUCUUUUAUUAGAUGUAGACAAGAAAAGAAAUUUUUUUCAUGUGACUUUUCCUCAUUUAUUUUUGUUUCAUUUUCAAUUACUUUGUUAGUAUUUAAUAUCGAUUGUUCCUUAUUCAAGCUAUGUUAAAUAUUUUUAACAUAAUUUUUUUGGUAACUCCUUUCUAAUAAUUUGUUAAAUCUUCUAAACUCUCGUUACUUAUUUAUGAAAUAAAAUUACCUUAAAACUUUUUACAUAAAUUUAUCUUAAAACUUUUUAUCCUAUUAUAUCUUGCUUUAAUAGUAUUUAAUCUAUAUAUAUAUUCAGUGUUUAUUUGUUUUCAACAAGUCAAAGAAUAAAUUAGAAUAUAUUCUUUAGAAUUAUAUUCCUAUAGAAUCUUCUCUAUUAUAUAUUCCUACAGUUAUUUACUGUAAAGUAAUAUUAUAUAUUAGUAAGAUUGCACACACCGUUUACGAUAUAAGUUGAUUAAUAUGUGUUAUUUCAUAAAUUAAAGUAUAGCAACAUAAUAUGAAAUUUCAUAAUUGAAUUUGAAUGAGAAAUUAAAUAAACAUAUCCAAAUGAUAAUUUUGUGUAUAAUAUUUUUUUCAUGUUCUUCACUAACUUUAAAGUGUAUGGAUAUAUACAGUUACGACAGCUACAACUCCUGCAGCAAUGUCAAUGCUCUCCAAAGAAAAGAAAAAAAUUGACAUGAUGAUAAUCGAUGUCAAUUCAUCAGAUUUACAUUGUUUUGAACUCUUGACACAAGCUGUAACCUUAAAUAUAAUCUCUCUUGGUAAGUAUUUAUAAUUCUAUUUUUCACUUCUUGUUAUAAAUAUUGGGUAAAAUCAGUUGUUUCAAUUAAUACACCACAAAAAUAUAAUUAGCUAUAAAAUUUAUCGUUAAUCUAUUGUCAAGAGACGACAUCUAUCCAUUGGUAAUCUUGUUUUUAGUUAUAGUUAUAUGAUAAAUGAUUGUUUCGUAACAAAGUUGUUGUCGUAACAGAUAAAAUUCAGUAAAUAUAUGUGUGAAAUUAACUAUUCUCAUAAUGUAUGAUAUAUUUUUAUUUUUAUUUUUAACUUCUCAAUAUAAUUAUGUAGUUGUAUGUGAUGAACUCAAUAGACUCUUAGCCAAGAACGCUUUGGAAAAUGGAGCUUAUUUUGCUUGAAAAAGCCAUUCAACAAGGAAAUUGUGAAAUACUUAUGGCAACUUGUAUUGAGAGAAAAAAUACAAAGGGAGAAAUCGAAAAAAGGUUUAGAAGCAAAUGGACGAAAUCAUAUGAAUGCUGAUGAAAUUUAUGAUAGUAAUAUUGUAAGAGAUGAACAAUUUGGAGAGAAGAAUAUGCAUGUUGAUACUGAGGAACAUAACAAUAAUAUCCAUAAGGCUGAAAAUGAUGGCGUAUCAACUGGUAAAUACAAGUUGAAGAGGAAGAGAGGGAGAAAAGGUAUAAAACAGAUUAAUGAAGGAGAAAGUCGUAGCAGUACUGUUAUUAAUAAGACUGGUACACGUAAAUGACUUGUAUCAUGCAUUUUAAACAUACAUAAAUGACAAUGAAUUUGAGAUAAUAAUUAUAUCCAUAGUCCAACUCUCCUUUGAGUUUUUCUUUCUUUCAGAAAUGUCGUGAAAACAAUUGGAGACCUCGAAAAGAGAGAAAGAAUAUUCAUCACGGAUCCUCAAGUGAUUCUCAACAAAGAAGUAGUUGUAACACAUCAUUAGAAAGAAAAAAAAGGAGCUGCAAAAAACUUGGAAAAAUGCCUCAUCUUCAAACAAAUAUACCAAAUCAAAUACAAAGAGUCUCAGAGUUCCCACCAGUUAAUACCAACAACAUUUUUGCUAUUUCAACUCAGCAGCAACUCCAUCACCCACAACUUCAGGCUCAACCUCACUGCCUAAACCCAUCUUUGUCAGCCCAAAAUGAUGUUGGUGGUCAACUACAACAACACAGUCUGUUAUUUGGAAUGCGGGUCCAAUUAUUGGAAGCACUCAAAAUGGUUAUGGCUUGGAUCUCAAUCCUACCCAUGUAACAACAUAUUCAGGUAGCACAAUGAUAACUAAUACAAAUGUUGGAAAUGUGACACUUAAUGGAUUGGGAGCUACAAAUGCUAAUUUUCAGCAAGAUAUUGGUGAACAAAACAUGUUUGAUCCAAGUUCUUGCUCUCGUAAUAUUUGUAUCUUAACUUAUCGAAUGCAUUUAUGUAUCUUCCUGUAUUGCAAAAGCUAUAAUUGGGAAAAUAUUUUCAUCUUUUGAUGAGAAAUUUCUUAACCUUUACUCAUUUCUUCGUUUCCUUAUUAUGUAUUGAAUGUUUAAGAUUGUAGUAUAUUAUUACAUACUUAAAUCUUGUUUAUGAAAUUUUUUAAUGAUUAAUGUUUGGAUUAUAAAUCUCUUGUUUUGCUUAUGUAUUGAAUGAUUUUUAUUUUUAAUGAAGUGAGUCAAAUUGUUUCUUUAAUUAUUCUUGUGUUUUAAUAUUUCUAAAAGGAGCGACUAAUCCUAGGACUUGCUCAGUUACUUUGAUUUGAGCUCGAGAGAGUGAAAAAAGAAUAAGAAGAGAGAUUGGAAAAGAUUAAUUAACAAAAAUUGUGGUACUAAUUUGGGUAUUAAUAAACAAAUCCUUACUUGAUCGCAUAUGUGUUGUUCUGUGUGAAAUUUGCCUCUGACUUAUAGUUGACUAAAUUAUAUUGCAUAUGUUCGUGUACAUUUUCUCACUUGGAAGAGUGGAUUUGGAUGUUAUUAACCAUCACCAUCGUUUAGGUAGAAAAAGAAAAUAACUAAUAGUUUAAUGUUUUAAUACAUAAAUGAUCAACUAAUAUGAGACGGAAAGAGUAGCGUAAAUGUAAGAUUCACUUCUCACCAAGAAUCCUCCUUUCUUAUUAUUUUCCUUUUAGAGGUUAAUAAUUAUUAUGUAUCCCUAGAAUAAUUUAUUGAAAUAGUAGAUUUGAAAGAAAGCAAUUAUUCUCUUCUUCCUAUGCGGGACUUUUAGAACAAAACUAAUUUGACAAAAACCACAAUUUAUUGAUUUUUAGGUGGAAUUAUAUCAAUAAGGAACUAUGCUUAUAAUAUUAAUCUAAGAUCAUUAGGGGUCGUUUGGUAGAGUGUAUGAGGUAAAAUAAUGCAUGCAUUAGGUGUGUGUAUUAGUAAUACCUUGUUUGGUACACUUUUUCAUGUCAUGUAUAACUAAUGCAAGCAUUAGUUAUACACUAUAUUGUGUAUUACUAAUACCAAGAAAUCCUAGAUAUUAGUAAUACAUAGCGUUUUAAUACUUGCAUUAGAUUAUACAAUUACAAAACUACCCUCAAAGCCUUUUAAAAAAACAUCUUCAUUUUCCAUGGUACUGUGUUUAGAAACCUUUCAUCUUCUAUGUGGCUGCUAACACUACAAGAAAAGUGUGAAUUACAUGAGGAUUUUCCUGGGGAUUAGUAUGAAAAUCCGUAGGAAACUUAUUUUUCUGCAAAUUUUCAUACUAAUCCCCAGGGAAAUCCCCAUGUAAUUCACAUUUUUCUUGUAGUGUAAACCUUUAAAAAAAAACAUCUCCGUUAUUUAUAAAUUUGAUUGUUGUAAUACUUUUUUGUAUUUCAAUUGCACUAAAAAAUAGGAUCUGUGGCUGCUAAAGCAUAUGCCCAGACUCCUAAUAUAUAUAAAGUGCAUAUACUGAUUUUAAUAGGGUACCGCUUUGCAGUUAGGAAUUAUCUCAGGUCUAUGCUGCCUGUAUCUCCCUUACAUUCCAUCAGUUUUUAUUUUUUAUUUUUGGACUCGUUUUAUCUCAAAAUAUAUAUAAAGCACUACUAAUGCAUGCAUUACUAACACACCCUAUUUUACAUUAUUCUUAUACACUCUGCCAAACGAUCCCUAUUGUUACUUGAACACAUGGAUUCAUCAUCUGAACAAUUGAAACAAUUAAUACUUGUGUGAACCUCUUGUUAUUUCGAGUGAUGUGUCAGAAUCUUUAGCCAACUAAGACUAGCGUUAAAUUUUUGGCAAGUCUCAAGAAGUGUAAUUAAUACUUAAUAAAAUAAUCUCAUCCUUGAGAUUCAAGAACUUGUUUGGUCUGAAUAGGUUUUAAUCAUUAAGAUCUAGAACAAAGUCUUAAUAUUAGUAAGAGGUAUUUUUGUGUGAAUAGUUUUCUUUGAGGUUCGAGAAAUGGAAUAGAUAUGGACUACAAGUUGAUAUUCGCCAUUAGGAAAUUCACACGAAAAGGAACGAGGAAUUCUCAAUGAAAAAAGCGCUCUCUAAAUCUGUUUAGUAUUUGCCAUGAGGUUCUUACCAUAAUUGAAUUUUCCUUUUAGGAAAAGGUAAACACAGUCUCCAUAUUUGUCUAGUUCUUUUUCUUGUACGAAAAAAAUUAUGACUCUAUAAAUAGAUGUUUAUUCAUUCUAGCUUGGUAGCAUUCAUAAUGUAGUCUUAGGGGGCUUUGAGAGUUUUGUGUAUUGUGUGAAGCUAGGGGAAGAAUGUGUGAGACACAAGUAUUACUUUAACACUUGUGUGAACCUCUUUGUAUUCCGAGUGAAUUGUGUGAGGUCAUUCUUCUCUAGAUUUUGAACUUUCUUUUAUAUAGUGAUUUUUUCAUCUCCUCUUGUGGAUGUAGACCGGUUGACCGAACCACGAUAAAUGUUUGUGUCUUUUUGUAUAUUUCUCGUUUGUCUUAUUACUCAUCGUCUUUCGAGGUUUGCUUUGCUAACUUUUGCAUGACACCUAAUUAUUUCAGUCCCAACAAGUGAUAUCAGAGUCAAGUUCAAUGGUUUAAUGAUCCAAUGGUUGAACCAGGUCAAAAAUAAGUGUUCAUCUUGACGGGUUUAGUUCUACCAUAACAUAUUUGAUAGUAAUGAAGAUUUUUGUUGGAGAAAUAUUUUCAAAGAUGUUUUUUGUGUUGAGAUAUAUAUAUAUAUAUAGAGAGAGAGAGAGAGAGAGAGAGAGAGAGAGAGAGAGAGAGAGGGAGAUAUUUUGCAGAGGAGAUGCAUAGUUAUUGAAGAUUAUGUGAAGAAGGUGGAACAAAUUUAUUUUGUCAGAAAUUUAGGCCAAUGGAGAUAUUUGUUUAGUAUUUGUCAUGAGUUUCUUACCAUAAUUGAGUUUUUUUCUUUUAGAAAAAGGAAAACACAAAGUUUCCAUAUUUGGCUAGUUCUUUUUCUUGUAGGAAAAUGUUUAUGACUCUAAAAUUAUAUGUGUAUUCCUUCUAGCCUAAUAGCAUUCACAAUGUAGUCCUAGGGGGCUUAGAGAGUUUUGUGUAUUGCGUGUAGCUAGGGGAGAAUGUGUGAGACACAAGUGUUACUUUAACACUUCCGUAAACCUCUUUGUUUUUACAUUGAAUUGUGUGGGGUUAUUCCUCUCUAUAUUUUGUACUUUCUUUUAUAUAGUGAAUUGCUCAUAUCCUCUUUUGGAUGUAGGUCGGUUGUUCAAACGACGUUAAAUAUUUGUGUCUUUUGGUAUAUUUUUUGUUUGUUUUAUUACUCACAGUCUUUCAAAGUUUGCUUUGCUAGCUUUUGCAUGAUACCUAAUUAUUUCAGUCCCAACAAAACCAAACGUGAAAGUUGUUUUCCAGCAGGCAACUUUUCUAGUAGCUCUACUCUCGACUUGGAUAAUAUAUCCAAAAAGGUACGCUUUCGGUCAUUCCACAUGCUGCCUAUGUAGAGACAUGUUUAUCUAAAGUGGAUUCUCUUUUUUGCAGUAGGUAUUGAACCUGUUAUGCCCAUUGACUAAGAAGCUAGGGGUGGACACAACAACUACAUGGACCUCUUCCUUUCAUUGGCCAUCACCAUUAGUCGUCUUUGUUAUCACAAUGACCACCACCAUUACCGUCAUCAAAUAUCUCUGUCAUCACAAUUACCAUUCUUAUCAACCACUACUAUAUAUCAAGCAUUUGCUAUAUUUAUGUUUUUUAUCGACAUAAACAAUGGGUUAACAUGAUAUAAUUUAUUAGUAGUUUUAUAUAUUUUUCCCAUAAUAAAGGAAACAAUCACUUAUACAUUCUUUGAGAUCAUUUAGUGUAAAAUCAGGAGUGGAAUCAUAACUAGGGUUAUAGCUUAGGAUCAAUUCACCUUCUUAAUUAAUGGGAUAAUUUACUUAGCUAAAUUUGAGUGAAAAGAAGAAGAAAUUAAUUAAUUUAAUUCGUUUACGUUCCAAUGGGGUGUGCAAUACCCAUAAAUUUGUCAUGUCGUUAUUAGGUGUUCAUGAGAUGCAUAUAUUUCAAGCAAAAGUGUCUAUCUGAUUACUAGACAAGUUUAGCCGUCCAAUUUACAAAUUCUGCCAAAUUUGAGGGACUAUCUAGAUAUUAUUAAGAAAAUCUAUCUUAUUUAAUAUAAUAUUUAAAAUAGAUAACUUUGUAAUUAGUGUUCGCUAGAUCUUCAUAUUUUCUCCAACCAUUAUAAAUUCUCAGUGCUCUCUCUAUAUAAAUUCAUCAGGAUAAAAAUAAACAAGACAAGAUAUCAUACAUAAAAAAUAUCCAAAAGAGUUUUCUUUAAAUAUGUGUAAUCUUUUUUAAAUAGCAUAUCCCUUAAGAAGCUAUGUAGUUUUAUCACAAUGUCCUUCUUUAAUUGUUUUUCUUUAAUUAAUAAAAAGGUGUGUUAUAUAUAUCUUCAAUUGAUGAUAAGCCCACUUAUAUACAAAUAAAGUAAUGCAAGUGAAACUCUGUAAAGAAUCCUAUGAAGGUUCUAGCAGAGAAAUUAUAUUUAAAAAGGAGGGUAAUAGCUAAUGUGAAACAAUUAGGGUUGUAAAAUAAAAAAUAAAUCAAAAUAAUAAUAAUUAGGGUUGCAAAGCAACACCCUCUAUUAUUGAAGUUGAAGUUGUAAUUCGUAGGAUUAUUAUAUAAUUGUAAUAAUGCCUAGCUUUUUGUAACAAGAAGAGAAGUGUAUCAUCAUUUGGAGAGUUGUUAGAACAAUUAUAGUUAACAUUUGAGUUAAAGUACUAAAAUUAAUCUCUUAAAUUAUAAAGGUGUAAUUUGAAAUCAUUCGUUGAAGUUAGUAUAGAUUGAUUGAUAAGGAGUUGUUUAUAGUCUUUUGAGCAAAGAUAUUUUCAUUGUAAGCCCUUUCUUACUUAAUUAGCACUCCUUCGUUACUUUUUACUUAGUAGGACAUACGAAUUGAGGUUAGCUUAUCGCAAUCUAGUAUAUACAUUCAAUUAUUAGAAAAUAAAAUAAUAAUAAUAAAAUUAUUAUUAAAUUUAAGUUUUACUGUCUGGAUUUAUCAUGACACAUAUAAUGUCCACUUGGGCAAAUUUAUUAUUUAAAACACAAUAAUAAUAAUAUAUUCAAUGUAAUUUCAUAAUUGACAUUUGAGAAGAAAAAAUAUAUAUGCUAACCCUUGAUUAAAAAAUUAAAAUUAACCAACCAAAACUAAAAUAAAUAUUUAUAUAAGGUUGUGUAGUGAGAACAAUUAGAUAUACUGGUUUUAAUUCAACUAUGCAUUAAAAAGAACAAUAAGUUGCUGUGGUGUAGUGGUUAUCACGUUAGUCUUACACACUAAAGGUCCCCAGUUCGAUCCUGGGCAGCAACAUAUAUGUAAAAAGUUUUACUUUUUUUUUGAUAUGUCGACGAAAACGUGUUUAUCCUUUUAUUUGUCGGCGGCAUGUCGACGAAAACGUGUUUCUCCUCUUUAUUGUUUUCACCAUGACCUCUUCACUACUAUAUUUACAUUACAUGCUUGUUCUAUCGGAAACAACUCUACCUUCACAAGGUAGGGUAAGACUGCAUAAACGUCACCCUCCCCAUAGUACGUAAAAAGAAUAUGAGACAGCUGCAGGAUCAUGGAAAGAUCAAAUUUUCUCUUUAUUUCAUUAUUGCAAUUACUCCAUGUCAAAAUCCAAAUACAUUCUAUAGGCAUUUCUAUCUGAAGAGUAAUAGCCCUCCACAAGAGUAUCCACUUGGAAACCGAGUUUCUUGUAUAGCUGCAUAGCUGCAGUCCUUGUAGGAUCUACAUGAAGCGAUAUCCGAUGAACGUUUCUUGUUCUGCAUUUCUGCACUGCUGCCUCCAGUAAUUUUUCUCCAUGGCCUUGUCCCCUGUAGUUCUCUUUCACUGAUGUAUUCCACAGGAACGAUGCAUCAGUAAACAAAACGAAAAAUUUUAAAUGACAAAAGAUAAGGAAUAUUGUAAAUGAAUCUCUUAACCCCUCGUUUUUCAACUUGUGUUGAUUCGCUCAGGCCAGAGAACAACAAGAGAGAGACAGGCAUAAACAUCACGAUGAAAAACUCAUAACCACAUAGAGAACGAAAGCAAUUCUUUUGAAAAAUAAACAUCACAUGAAAGAUGGUUCUCUCUUCUAUGUAAUGACGGACAAUGCUUCACUGACUUAUCGGGAAUAUUUACUAAUAAUAUCAAUUCACCUUCUGCCUUUCCCUAUUGCGAUUCAAUAUGAUGACGAUCAGAGAAAGAUAUAACUAAACUCUCCUGCAAAAUUCCUUUAAAACAACUGCUAGCUAUUUCAAGGUUCGUUGUUUCCGCAAUAGUAACAUAUCAGCUUUGCUCGGAGGGGAAAACUACAUAACACCACUCUAAUUUAGAAAUGCUGCACUUUCAUCCAAUCCAGCUACAGAGAAAAACGUUGAAAGAGCAGAAGCAAUUUCUCCUACCUCUCUAUUCAUAGAGAUCAAAACUUGUUCGGCAAAUGCAUUCAUGCAUAUUCUUCUUUAAAAGACAACUUUUUGUAGAUGAACUGCUCCCAAAUAAGUAUUUUUAUCUUUUGAAUGCUCAAGUUAUAGUCACAUUCACACUCUUGACUGCUCUUUUUCCUACGAAAACAUUAUCAAAGAGUCACAUUUGAGUUCCUCACGAUUAUAACCUCGUAUAUUAAAUCAAAUUGGUCCUAGUCACAUUCGGAAAUAGUCUCUCUACUUUCACAACUAGGGAUAAGACCGCGUACAGACUAACCUCUCCAAACCCCACUUGUCUACGCGGUCCUAGUCACACUCACAUUGGGAAAUUGUCUCUCUACUUUCACAGGUAGGGAUAAGACUGCGUACACACUACCCUCUCCAGACCCCACUUGUCUACACAGUCCUAGUCACACUCACAUUGGGAAAUAGUCUCUCUACUUUCACAGGUAGGGAUAAGACUGCGUACACACUACCCUCUCCAGACCUUACUUGUCUACGCAGUCCUAAUCACACUCACAUUGGGAAAUAGUCUCUCUACUUUCACAGGUAGGGAUGGAUAAGACUGCCUACACACUAUCCUCUCUCCAAACCCGACUUAUCUACACAGAGUAUGUUGUUGUUCCAAUAAACAAUAUUAGAUAUCAGCUUAGACUUCAAUCCAAGAAUACAACUACAAUAAUCAGAAUAAAUUCAAGAAUAAGACCAAUUAUUAAAAGGAAAAUCAAAGCAAAACAGAAAAUUAUGAAAAGGGUAUUUUUUGUUCAGACCUGCUAAUUUAGUGAUACAAGCAGAGAGUGAAGAAGGCCAAGAAUACAUAACAUAACCAGCAAUAUCUUCACCUAAUUGAGUGUAGAGUAACCCAGAAUUCUUCUUUUUCAGUUCCUCAUCAAAAGAUCGAGCUAAAGAUUCAUGUUUGGGGAAAAUCUUCUUCUCUAUUCUCACUAUAUCGUCAACUACCUUAACCCAAUUUGCUGAAUUUCUCUGCAAUUCAACUAUCUCUGCCAUUUCUUCGUUUUCAUAUUUCUCUGUUUUUGCUGCUGUAUUUAGGUUAACAAGAAUCUACUGGGGUCAUUAUUGGAAAGAAAAAUAGUUCCUCUGUUAUUUUAAAAGUUUUUACUUUAUUUUUUUUAACUAUAAAGUUCUUAUAUAUUUUUAACGUUUUAAUUAUUAGAAACUAUUAUGUACAUUGUUUUUAUUUUACAUGGUUUAUUAAUAUAUAUAGUAUAAAUUUGCAUUCAUGUAUUAAUUAACUUAUCAAUUAAUCAAUAGUAAAAAUUCUCUCUGAUUUUCUGAUUAUUUAUGGCCAGUUUUUUUUUGUAUGUGUGCGUCUCUAAGCUCGUAAGUGAAAGUAAAUCAAUUUUUUAAUUGUUAAUUUAUGCCCAACUUCUUUAUGUAUGUGUGCGUUUCUAAGCUCGUAAGUGAAAGUAAAUCGAGUCUCACGAUAUCAUCUGUCUUUGUCAUACUCGUCUGGUUGAACAAGGACUAAUACUAGUUGUUGAGCAAAAUUAAUUUAUAAAUACUCUUAACAAGGUGUGAUAUUAUUUGUUUUGGGUAAAGUCUUUGUAAGGCUUCACACUAUUAAGAGAUUCUACACUUUAUAUGUAAUUUUUCAAUCUUUUCAGCUAUCAAUGUGGGAUUUUAUUUACCCAACUAACAAUUUUGUUAUUUGUUCUUACAUUUUGGUGUUAGCUUUGGCCUUUGUGUACUCCAUCAUAGGUUGAGGAAAGGGAUCAUAUAUAAUUGGAAAAAUACAAAUCAGAAUGGUAUUUUUGUUAGUAAUCCAAGGGAUUGGUUUACUUUUGGACAUGUUAUUUUUUUGGUUCUACUUAAGGUUAGUAAGGUCAUUUCAAUAUUAUUUUCUUCCUACUUCAAUCAACAGCAACUUCUAUUUUUCCUUAUAUGACAACGCAAUUCAAUCUAGCUACGUUGUUAUGUUAACCAACCCCAAAAACAGGACACCAUAUCUAGAUUGAUAAGCUUAAGUAAGUUUCGAUAUGACUCAUUUAUACUUCAAUUAAUCUAAAGUAAAACUUAUCCAUAUGUAUGAUCCAGCCAAAUUAUUUUAUCAAUAUAAUCGAAAUAUUAAAAACAUAUUUAGUAAUUAUGGAUAUCAUAGGUAUAGAUAUGUAUAUAUAUUAUACUAAAAUAUACAAAACCUAUACAAUUAUGACUAUUUGUAAAUUAGAUUAAUCAAAGACAUUGAACUGUAAUUAUUCCAAUCUAUACUUUAAACCCUUUUCACUUCAAAGCACUAUCCCAAUUCUAAACAGUUUGAGACAUGGUAAAAAAAAAUAAUUGAUUUUUUUUUUUUUAAGAUGGGGUGUAGUUAGGUGGAAUUUUCUUGGUUUUGUUCAAAUAAGUCUGCCUUUUGAAGCAUAGGCAUACUUGUUUCAUCUUUAUAUAUAUAUAUAUAAUAAUGAUGUUCUGGAUAACUUUUACACCUUAACUUGAUUAAUUAUGUGAGAUAUCUGUCAUUUUUCAUAGCAAUAUUAUAUUUAACUAUAUUCGCCCAAACUAAAACAGGUAGAAAUAACAUUUGAAUCUGUCAAACUGCAAUAAUGAAUUAUAUAUGGUGGAAGAUUCUUUGGGGCCCAACUGGCCCCACAGCUAAUAUUUUAACGGACGUCCAUGAAAAGUUUUAACAAAAUCACGUCGAAAUUCUAGAUCACCAAAAAUUCAUGGACUAUAUAGCACACGAUAAUCAGCAAAAUGGGGGGGGGGGUUACUUGCUCAAGGGCUCGUCUGACCUUGAAAAUGGGCUGGUUUGCCCGUGGGGACCAAUUGGCUCUAUAACUAAGGUCUUAACGGACGUCCAUGAAAAGUUAUUGCAAAAAAUCACGUUGGAGUUCCAUAUCACCAAAAAUCCAUGGACUAUAGCACAUGAAAAUUGGCAAAAUAAAGGGUUUACCUACUCUGGGCUCGUUUGACCUUGAAAAUGGGUUGGUUUGCCCGUGGGAACCAGCCGGCUCCAUAGCUAAGGUUUUAACGGAAAACCAUGAAAUUUUUUGGCAAAAGUCACGUCGGAAUUGCGGAUCACCAAAAAUCCAUGGACUAUAGUACACGAAAAUCGGCAAAAUGGGGGGGUUUACCUACUCUGGGGAUUGUUUGACCUUGAAAAUUUCCCGAUUUGCCCGUGUGGACCAACUGGCACCACAGCUAAGGUUUUAAUGGACGACCAUGAAAUUUUUUGGCAAAAGUCACGUCGGAAUUGCGGAUCACCAAAAGUUCAUGGACUAUAGUACACGAAAAUUGACAAAAUAGGGGGUUUACCUACUCUGGGGAUCGUUUGACCUUGAAAAUUGUCCGGUUUGCCCGUGUGGACCAACUGGCUCUAUAGCUAAGGUCUUAACGGACGUAUACAGAAAAUUUUGGCAAAAAUCACGUCAAAAUUUCGGAUCACCAAAAAUGCAUGGUCUAUAACACACGAAAAUCGGUAAAAUGAGGGUUUACCUGCUCUGGGGAUCAUUUGACCUUGAAAAUGGGUCGGUUUACUCGUGGGGACCAACUGGCUCUAUGCUAAGGUCUUAACGGACGUCUAUGAAAUUUUUUAGCAAAAAUCACGUCGAAAUUUCGGAUCACCAAAAUCCUAUGGACUAUAGCACACAAAAAUCGGCAAAAUAGGGGGUUUACCUGCUCUAGGCUCGUUUGACCUUGAAAAUGGGCCGAUUUUCCCGUGGGGACCAACUGGCUCCAUAGCUAAGGACUUCACGGACGUCCUUGACAAAUUUUGGCAAAAAUCACGUCGGAAUUCCGUAUCACCAAAAAUUUACGGACCAUAGCACACGAAAAUAGGCAAAAUGGGGGGUUUACCUGCUCUGGGCUCAUUUGACCUUGAAAAUGGGCCGGUUUGCUCGUGGGGACCAACUGGCUGCAUAGCUAAGGUCUUAACGGAUGUCCAUGAAAAUUUUUGGUAAAAAUCACGUAGGAAUUCCGGAUCACAAAAAAUCCAUGGAUUAUAGCACAUGAAAAUCGGCAAAAUGGGGGGUUUUACCUGCUCUGGGGUUCAUUUAACCUUGAAAAUGGGCCAAUUUUCCCGUGGGGACCAACUGGCUCUAUAGGUAAGGCUUAAUGGACGUCCAUGAAUUUUUUUUGUAAAAAUCAUGUCAAAAUUCUGUAUCUCCAAAAAUCCAUGGACUAUAGCACACAAAAAUCAGCAAAAUGGGCGGUUUACCUGCUCUGGGAAUCGUUUGAACUUGAAAAUGGGCCGGUUUACCCAUGGGGAUCAACUGUCUUCAUAGCUAAGGUCUUAACGGACGUCUUUAAAAAUUUUGGCAAAAUUACGUCGAAAUUCCAGAUCAUCAAAAAUCCAUGGAUUAUAGCACAAGAAAAUGGGUAAAAUGGGUUGGUUUGCCCGUGGGGACCAACUGGCUCCAUAGCUAAGGUCUUAACGGACGUCCAUGAAAUUUUUUAGAAAAAAUCAUGUCGAAAUUCUGGAUCACCAAAAAUUGAUGGACUAGCACACAAAAAUUGGCAAAAUGGGGGGUUUACCUACUCUGGGGAUCGUUUGACCUUGUAACUGGGCCAAUUUUCCUGUGGGACCAACUGGCUCCAUAACUAAGGUCUUAACGGACGUCCAUGGAAAUUUUUGGAAAAAAUCACAUCAGAAUUCCGGAUCACCAAAAAUUCAUGGAUUAUAGCUCACGAAAAUUGGCAAAAUGGGGGGUUUACCUGCUCUUGGGCUCAUUUGACGUUGAAAAUGAGCCGGUUUGCUCGUGGGGACCAACUGGCUCCAUAGCUAAGGUCUUAACGGACGUCCAUAAAUUUUUUUGGCAAAAAUCACGUCGGAAUUCCGGAUCACAUUCAUGACUAUUUGUAAAUUAGAUUGAUCAAAGACAUUGAACUGUAAUUAUUCCAAUCUAUUCUUUAAACCUUUUUCACUUCAAAGUACUAUCCCAAUUCUAAACAGGUUGAGACCUAGUAAAAAAAAUGAUUUUUUUUAAAGAUGGGGUGUAGUUAGGUGGAAUUUUCUUGGUUUUGUUCAAAUAAGUCUGCCUUUUGAAGCAUCGGCUAUUCUUGUUUCAUCUUUAUUUUAUUUUUCAUAAUAAUGGUGUUCUGGAUAACUUUCACACCUUGACUUGAUUAAUUAUGUGAGAUAUUUAUCUGAUCAUUUUUCAUCAGCAAUAUUUAACUAUAUUCGCCUAAACUAAAACAGGUAGAAAUAACAUUUGAAUCUGUCAAACUUCAAUAAUGAAUUAUAUAUGGUAGAAGAUUCUUUGGGGCCAUUAUGCAAUGAUAGUGGAACAUGAGAAUAUUUUUAUGAUUGGUAAAAAUAUCAUGGGAAUGGCGAAAAACUAGCUUUGAUAAGAAGAAUAUGAUGCUUUAUAACAUUAUCAAGGGAACAAAAGUCAUUUUUAUAUAUUUGAAGAAAAGAAAGUUUUCACAUUACAAUAAUUGGGAUGCCUAUAAAUGUGUGGUUCAAAAUGAUAGUGACAAGCCACAUAUUAUAUUGAAGCAUUAAUUAAUCAUAGUAAAGAAAGUUCAAUGUUAUUAUUAGGGGCAAUUUGUGCAAAGUAGAUAUGACCUAAGUUGCUUGAACGCAAAGGUAAUGUUAUAAUGUUUGUGAAAAAUUGAUAGAUCAUUAAAUCAUUAAACCUAUUACCUAUAUAAGAUUUAGUGCUAAUUACAAUCAUUUCUAUGUAGUGUAAGUGAUGUUGGAUUAGGUGGAUAUCAACUUAUCAAAGUGGACACCAAAUUUUUUAAAUUGCUUUCUCUAGUGUUACACUAACUUUAAUAAGUGGAAAUCCUUAGACAAUUGUUGAAGAUAUCUAUCAUAUUUGAUCAAAUAAAACAUAAGUUAUCAAUCAUAGAAUCAGAUAUAUACCUUUAAAUUCACGGGAGCGUUUGACUAUGUUUCAUUGUGAAAUUUGAUUUUUCUUUUCAAGUAAAAAAAGAUAAAUUGAAAUUAGAUAUUGUUAUCAACUUGUAUACCACUAGUUCGAAAGGCAUAAUUUCUUAAACUGACAUUCAAACUUAGCCUCCACUUACAAGUAAUUACUUCAACUUUUUCAUUAUGUAUGCAUAUUUAGACACCUUAUAAACUCGACUCAUUUCCACUAUACCAGCUAAACUCUCCAACAUAUGUACAAAAUAAUCAUCUAGUCACCUUCAAAAUUUAUUCAUUACAUCAGCAUCGAAUGUAAUGAGAUACAGAGACGAGUUGAGUAUUUAGUAGACCGUUGAAACCAAGUUGAGGUGUCCAUACCUAUACAACAAUUAUCACAGGUGACAUGCUUUCAAAUAAUUUUGAAGUAUUAAAAAUAGAUGAUUUAUUAAAAUAAGAUAUUUCUCACCAUAAGCAAUUUUCAAUUCUUUCGCAUCAAACGCACCCAUAUUUAGAAUGUUCUAUACUAUCACUCUCCAUAGACGGCAGCCAUCAUGUCAAUCACCACCCACCAGCACUUGCUGUUGUUAACCUUGCCAAAUAGAUAAUGACAAGUUGGCAUAUGAGAUAGGUGGUCUACGCCUAUCAACAUGAGUUGUGGUGCAAUGGUGGAAUUGCUCAAUCCUUAAUUAGAAAUUUCAGGUUUGAGUCUUGGGUAUGAAGAAAAUUCUAUUGGAAGCGUCACUCUCAAAUGAGUCCUGUGCUGUACAAUUCAGAUUUAAUUAAGGCUUUAAUGCAGACUCCGAACAGUGAGCGUGAGAAAAAAAGAGAGGUGGCCUAUGCCUAUUUCUCUUUGAGAUGUUGAUGCCUUGAUUUUGAAUGUCUUGUUUUUCAAUCCUCGUGCUUAUAUCUUUGAAUAUUCAUUACUUUCUCUAGAUGUGAAAACUACUCUUUCCGUUUCAAUUUGAAUAUUCAGAUUAUAAAGAAUAUUUUUUUUAUAUUUUACGUAACUUUAAUCGAAUACCAUAUAAUUUAAAAGUUCGUUUUACUUUUUUAAAUCAAAAUCAAAUAAAUAAAUUAAAACGAAAGGAGUGAUGGCUGAGAUGUCCUGUAAAAUGGUAUUGGUCUCUUUAGUGGGAUUUUGUUAUUUUGAUUUUAAAUUGACACAAGAAGCUAAACAAGCUUUGUCUUCUUAAUGAUUGGAUUUGAUUCAUCUUUUCAAUUUCAAUUGAGUCUGUCUCAAAAUUCAUAAUGUUAACUAUAUAAAUCCAGGUGAUCAUAUAUUACAUUGAUCUAAGAUGUAUAUUCAUAUCAUAUAUCGCGUUACUAAAUAUAAUUACAUUGUAUGAACACGCGAAGAAGAUGAUCAGAACAAGAGAAGACAUGUUACUAAACAACAACAUAAGAAAAAACAAAUUCUGUUAAGUGAUUGAUCCGCGUGUGAUAGUUGUCUUCUUAACCUUGGACUAUUGCUUCCUGCUAGAUUAUAUGAACUUGAAUAUGUAUACAAAUUAGUAUUCAAUGAGUUCCCAAACAUUCGCGCAUAAAAAAUUUCCCCUGUUGUCGUUCCACCAGGACUUAGCAUAUGUUCUGUAUUUGUAUAAUUUCGAUGAUGAUCAUGAGAUUGUUGGUAUAAUGGAGGCAUAUUAUUAUUGGGUAUUACUCCGUGACUCCUACAUCUCGGAGUAGGAGGUCUUUGUGGUAUGACUAUACCAAGAUUCAGGGCCUUGCCUGCUGUUUUUGUAGCUUGACCGCGACCAUAGAGUGGAAUCAAUGUUUUUUGUGAGACUUCAGCUUUGCAAACAGGGCAUUUUGGCUGUUGAUUAUCGAUGUUCUCUGAUGAAAUGGUCUUAAUAUGUAUCCAUUUGUAGAUGCAAGGCCAACAAUAGAGGUGACCACAUAAUGUAACAACAGGAUCAUGUACAACAUCCAGGCAAAUGUUGCACUCGAAACCUCCAGGUGAAUUUUCUUCAAGUUUAUCAAGAUCAAUUGUCUUACAUUUUUCAAAGGAAAUAUCGCGUUGAUCAAAAAUAGUUUCUGGUAUUUGGUCUUGAAAAAUUUGUUCUAAGGCCAUAUUUGCUUCUUGGUAUUGAUUUAUUUUGGUAAUGGCAAGAUGAAUGGUUAGAAUUCAGGUUUUUAAUACAAUUAGAAGUGAGUAUUUAUAAGGACAAGAAUAGUAGUUUGCAAACAAUGAUUCUUAAGGUUGUCACUUGUCAACAUCACAUCAUGUUAAAGGGGCAUGGCCAAAAAGAAAAGGCCCUACACAUUAUUAAACAACACUAUAUCAUAUUACUCAACUCAGUUUUGAUUUAUGGGUACUGUUUGAUUUGAUAUAACAUUUAAUAAGAAAAUGAAAACUUUUAAAAUAUGUACUGUAUUAAAGAUAAAAAAUAAAUUUUAAAUUUUUAGAUCCUAGAAAUGAUAUUCUUUUUAUAUUAAGACUACAACAAAUGUCUUACAUAAAUUAAGACAGGUGAACUAUCAAACACAUCAUAAUUAAGUGAUUUAAUGAAGUCAAAAAUAAAUAUUAAUGGAUCAUGGUUAAGUGAGAGGAGUUUUGUGCAAACACGUCUUUUAUCUAUCUAUUUGAUUUAAACAAGCAUAAGUUUUAUCAUAUUAGAAAUAUGAUUAGGACCUUAUAUUAGGCCCCAUGAUAAGAAUCUUAAUCUAGAAAAUAACUUUUAGUCAAUAAAAAGUAGCACUAGUUGCGUACAAGGAGCUACCACUUGAUGACCUUCCACACAGCCACAUCCCAUAAGUUCAAUAGUUUUCACACUAUAAGAACUAGAUGUUUUUUUCCGAGUGAAUCAAUAAAAAUUUUAUGUUAUAAAACAUGAUUUUUUUCAUUUUGAUUUUAUUAAACUAAUUCACUAAGAAAACCCAUAACGAAACAUAAGUUCUCAUUGAAAUACUGGAAAUAGUCACUUGGAAAUUUAUGAGUUUUAGGAAAUUAUGCAUCAAAACUUAGAAAGACGCGGCUCAUAUAGAAAUUUGUUGUUAAAUCAUAAUAUAUACUUUUACAUCUGAAUAUCUUUAUUGAUUUGGUUAAAAUUAUAAUUAAAAAAAUUACAAUACAAUAUAUAUAGAUUCACAUAAAUUUAAUACUGUAAGUUCAAUUAUUAUUAUGAUAUAUUAAUCUAAAAUUAUUAUAGAAGCUUCUAAACUCUAAAUUCAGAUCCAACUAAGGAGUGAAUAUACAUAGUGGGGGUCUGGGGGAUGGGAGAAAACAUAUGGACGGUGUGACAAAUAAAUAAAAGAAAUACUCCGUCCAUUCCAUUUGACUUAGUAUUGUUUGACUUAAUACGAUGUAUAAGAGAAAAAAAAGAUUUUAGAAAAUUAUAGGCUAAAACAAUUUUUAUAUAUUUAUAUAAUUGUAAAUCAUUUCAUUAAUUAAGGGUAGAUGGAGAAUUUUAAGUUUAAUUAUUUUCAAUUACAAUAAAAUGACAUUUUUAAAGACGGAUUAUGAGAAUAGAGUGCCACGUAAUAUAAAACGAGAAAAUACUACUCCCUCCUUCCCAUUUUAUAUGUUACCUUUUUACUUUACAUUUACAUUAAGAAAUAAUGUAACUUUACCCUUCUACCCUUAUUUAAUGUUUUCUUAAGUUAACUUUAUAACUCCCUCCGUCCCAUUUUAUAUGUCAUCUCUUUCUAUAAAUAGUUGGACCACAAUACUUGUCAUUUUAUAAAAUUUAUGUAUAAAUUACCAUAUUUUACCUAUUAUAUCCUUGAUAGAGUAGUUAAUUAAUCUUGAAAAUAUAUUCAUCAUUUAUUAUAAAUUGACUUAAGAAAAUAUUAAAUAAGAAUAGAAAGAUAAAAUUACAUCAUUCUUCAACAAGUGGUAUCAGAGCCAGGUUAAUAAGAGCGAGGUAGUAACUCAAAAGAGAUCCUACAAGCUACCGUCGGAGGCUACAAAUCGCGAGGCACUAAUUAAUGAUGGAUUUUGCAAGCACUCUCAAUAGCGUUGAGANNNNNNNNNNNNNNNNNNNNNNNNNNNNNNNNNNNNNNNNNNNNNNNNNNNNNNNNNNNNNNNNNNNNNNNNNNNNNNNNNNNNNNNNNNNNNNNNNNNNNNNNNNNNNNNNNNNNNNNNNNNNNNNNNNNNNNNNNNNNNNNNNNNNNNNNNNNNNNNNNNNNNNNNNNNNNNNNNNNNNNNNNNNNNNNNNNNNNNNNNNNNNNNNNNNNNNNNNNNNNNNNNNNNNNNNNNNNNNNNNNNNNNNNNNNNNNNNNNNNNNNNNNNNNNNNNNNNNNNNNNNNNNNNNNNNNNNNNNNNNNNNNNNNNNNNNNNNNNNNNNNNNNNNNNNNNNNNNNNNNNNNNNNNNNNNNNNNNNNNNNNNNNNNNNNNNNNNNNNNNNNNNNNNNNNNNNNNNNNNNNNNNNNNNNNNNNNNNNNNNNNNNNNNNNNNNNNNNNNNNNNNNNNNNNNNNNNNNNNNNNNNNNNNNNNNNNNNNNNNNNNNNNNNNNNNNNNNNNNNNNNNNNNNNNNNNNNNNNNNNNNNNNNNNNNNNNNNNNNNNNNNNNNNNNNNNNNNNNNNNNNNNNNNNNNNNNNNNNNNNNNNNNNNNNNNNNNNNNNNNNNNNNNNNNNNNNNNNNNNNNNNNNNNNNNNNNNNNNNNNNNNNNNNNNNNNNNNNNNNNNNNNNNNNNNNNNNNNNNNNNNNNNNNNNNNNNNNNNNNNNNNNNNNNNNNNNNNNNNNNNNNNNNNNNNNNNNNNNNNNNNNNNNNNNNNNNNNNNNNNNNNNNNNNNNNNNNNNNNNNNNNNNNNNNNNNNNNNNNNNNNNNNNNNNNNNNNNNNNNNNNNNNNNNNNNNNNNNNNNNNNNNNNNNNNNNNNNNNNNNNNNNNNNNNNNNNNNNNNNNNNNNNNNNNNNNNNNNNNNNNNNNNNNNNNNNNNNNNNNNNNNNNNNNNNNNNNNNNNNNNNNNNNNNNNNNNNNNNNNNNNNNNNNNNNNNNNNNNNNNNNNNNNNNNNNNNNNNNNNNNNNNNNNNNNNNNNNNNNNNNNNNNNNNNNNNNNNNNNNNNNNNNNNNNNNNNNNNNNNNNNNNNNNNNNNNNNNNNNNNNNNNNNNNNNNNNNNNNNNNNNNNNNNNNNNNNNNNNNNNNNNNNNNNNNNNNNNNNNNNNNNNNNNNNNNNNNNNNNNNNNNNNNNNNNNNNNNNNNNNNNNNNNNNNNNNNNNNNNNNNNNNNNNNNNNNNNNNNNNNNNNNNNNNNNNNNNNNNNNNNNNNNNNNNNNNNNNNNNNNNNNNNNNNNNNNNNNNNNNNNNNNNNNNNNNNNNNNNNNNNNNNNNNNNNNNNNNNNNNNNNNNNNNNNNNNNNNNNNNNNNNNNNNNNNNNNNNNNNNNNNNNNNNNNNNNNNNNNNNNNNNNNNNNNNNNNNNNNNNNNNNNNNNNNNNNNNNNNNNNNNNNNNNNNNNNNNNNNNNNNNNNNNNNNNNNNNNNNNNNNNNNNNNNNNNNNNNNNNNNNNNNNNNNNNNNAAGCUUGAGAUAAGAGGAGACGUUAUAUGUGCUGGAUGUCAAUAUGGGAAAGCACAUCAACUUCCCUAUGGAGAAUCAAAGUAUCAAGCGNNNNNNNNNNNNNNNNNNNNNNNNNNNNNNNNNNNNNNNNNNNNNNNNNNNNNNNNNNNNNNNNNNNNNNNNGACCAGUGAAGCAGUCCUCCAUCAGCGGUUACCGUUACAUGGUAACAUUCAGUGAUGACUUCUCAAGGUACGUAUGGAUUUACUUCAUAAAAGAGAAAUUUGAAGUAUUUGAGAAGUUUAAAGAGUUUCAAUAUACUGUGGAGAAUGAUAUUGGAAGAAAAAUCAAAUGUCUCCGUACGGACAAUGGGGGAGAAUACACGUCACGAGAGUUCAAUGAAUAUCUUAAAGAGAAGUUGAUAAGACGACAACUAACUUGUCCAAAUACACCACAACAAAAUGGAGUGGCUGAAAGAAAAAAUAGACAUCUGGCGGAGAUAUGCAGAAGUAUGUUGCAUAGUAUGAAUGUACCAGCAAGGUUUUGGGCAGAAUGCAUGAAGACUGUUGUCCACAUCAUCAACAGGCUGCCGCAGGCAAGAUUGAGAUUUAUCUCACCAUUUGAGAAACUUAAAAAAAUAGAUUCCUACUGUAAGCCACUUUCGAGUUUUUGGUUGUGUGUGCUAUGUGUUCGUGCCAGAUCAUCUCCGCAACAAGUUUGAUAAGAAAGCUGUUCGUUGCAUCUUUGUUGGAUACGAUGAACAAAGAAAAGGAUGGAAGUGUUGUGACCCUACCACAAAUCGGACAUAUGUGUCAAGAAAUGUGGUAUUUGAUGAAGCAUCAUCUUGGUGGUCCAAAGAAGUCUCCCUGCCAGACUCAAUAGCUCUUGAGCAAAAGCUGCAAGAUAAGCUCAAUGAAGUAGAACAAGGGAACAAGAUAGACUCUAACCAGGAGGUAUCUCCACAAAAGGAAAAGAAAAGCUUACCACAAACUGGAGCUUGUGAAACACCAGAUGAGUUGCAAGAAGAAGUCCAAGAAGAGUCACAAUCGCAACUGAGGAGGUCUACACGACUGAAGCGUCCAAACAUCAAGUACAUAGAUGCAGCAUUAACCGAGGUGGUUAACAUCAAAGAGGCUGCUACCUUUGAAGAAGCUUCAAAGAGUAGGGAUCGGAAUAAUCCGACGAAGGUGGAGAUCCCCAAAGGGUAUGGACGUUAUGAUGCUUGCAAAGUUUCAGGAAUCGCUCACAAAAGACGCAAAGAAAAAAUUAAGUUGGUGUUGAGGGGGAGUGUUAAGAAUUCAUCACCAACUUAAUUCUUUACUUAAGAUAAAUCAAGAAAAAUCUAGAAUAUUCCGGAGGUGUAGAGAAUUGAAGGAAGAUCUCUAGAAUGAGUAUUCUAGAAAGAAUAGUCUAGAAAUGUUCUAGAAAGAAUAGUUCUAGAAAAAGAUAGUUAGGAAUAUUCUAGAAUAGAGUAGUAUGUAUCUCUCUAGAUUCUUCCAUCACCACCUAUAAAUAGAGGUGGUCCAUUUGAGUUGUAAGCAACCAAGCAAGAAACCAAGCAAGAAAUAAGAGAGCAAACAAGAGUGAGUGCUUAAGUCAAAUAGUGUUGCUGAAGCAAGCAACAAGUGUGAUCAAGAUUGUAAGACCGAAGCGGGUCCUUACUUUGAUAUAAUAAAAUUCAAGUUGUGAGAAAUCGAUUGUGCCCGUCGUCUCCAAAACAAUAAUAUUCAACACUCAUCCCCAAUUCUAGAGACUAAGUUUCUCAUCUUCAUUCUUAUCUCUAUCCUUACUUGUUAUUUCAAUAUUUCCAUUGUAAUUAGAUAGUUUGAUUAUUCCAAUUAGAAUAUUAAAGUUGUAAUAGUGUUCCAGUGCUCUUAUUAAUAGUGUGAGAAUUUUGGUUUGUUACAUCAGACGUUCUCUUUUCGAAUAAUUGAACGUCUCAUAUUAUUUGCUAAUGAAAAAUAUCAUGAGUAGGACCCAAAAAGAUAGUAGUACCAGAUAACAAACAAAAAAAUACUGUACAGUCUAAAAAUAAGUAUAGAAUAGCUUGAACUUUUGGGCCGUUGUAUAAAACACCCAGAAAGGGAGACAGGGGAGUCACUGGUCCACUUAAUUAUUACAUGUAGUAAAAUUAUUAGUUAUGUACUAGCAAUACUGGAAGUAUUAUUUCAUGGCAUAUAUUGGUGACUAAGAUAAGUGAUAAGCAUAAUAAAUAAUUUAGAAGUAGGUGGAUUCGAGUCAUCAACGAGCUCCCGGGGAGGAAUGAAAAAACUCUUAAUAAUAACUACAACAUGGAGUGGCCACUGCUAGCAUAGGUGAUAUCCUACGAAUAAUGAUGCCACUGCCUUCCGUCAUAUCCAAAUCCUCCGGUUUUAACACUUCUGGUAAUGCUAAAUUGAACUUGUGCACAAUCCUUGCUAAUGCUAGCUCAAUUACCACAAUAGCAAAACCAGUUCCUGGGCAGCCCCUUCUCCUAAAAUUGUCAACUUUUUAUAUUUUGGCUUACUUGGAAGCAAGUCUAUCCUCUCCUAUCCAAUCAAUUAGGGUGGCCAUUAAUCAGAUAUUAUUAGGCUAAAGAUAACAUAUUGCUCCCUCCGUUUUUAAUUAUUUAUCCAUUUUUUUAGUUAUUCCUAAUUACUUGUCUAUUUUGACAAAUCAAGAAAGAAUAAUUUUUUUUACCUAUUAUACCGUCAAUUUAUUACUUUGAAAAAAGUAGAACUUUUUGAAAAUCUUGAGUUUUUAAUUCAUCCACUUCAUAAUUAAUAUGGGUAAAAUGGUAAACUCACUAUUUCAAUAAUUGUUUUCUUAAUAAGUGUGCCAAUUUAAAAAUGGAUAAGUAAUUAGGGAUAGAGAAAGUAUAUCGAAAUAAUAUAAUCAGAUAUUAUGCUAAAGAUGAUUAACAAAACUUUGAACAAUUAUAAAUAAGAUAGCAAAAAAAUCGAUUAGAUAAUACUUAGCAAAUUAACACGGUUCAACGAUUAGUGAUGGAAUCUGAAUAUGAUUCGGGAUUUUCACUAUUAAUGAAAUUCAAAAGGCAUAAUACAUAAAUGUGCCCUUUAACUUGACUUCAUUUUAUGUUUAUGUCGUUCAAUUUUGGGUAUGCACAUAAACUUGUAUAAAGUUGAACAACUAGCCACAUGAGUUCUACACGACACAAUACAUUUAAGACACCACGUAGGAUAAAAAAUGACAUGUAGGAUACCAUAUAGGACAUGUGUGUCUGUUUCUUCAACUUUAUACAAAUUUAAAUGUCUACUUGUGCACACCCGAAGUUGAAGGGCAUAAAUGUGAUUUGAAGCCAAGUUAAAUGGUAUAUUUAUGUAUUAUGCCUAUUCAAAAUAUGAAUAAGUAAACAUACAAAUUAGCUGACUACAAUAAUACAAAGAUAAAAAAACAAUUUUAAUUAUAUGUAUAAAUAGUAUAAUUUUCCAUCAAAGGUGGUUCAUUUGAUUCCUCACUUCUUUCCCUCAUUUAAAACUAUGCAAUAUGAGACUUUCAUGUCACAUGGAAUCCUUCUCUUUUUUUUUUUUGGAAAUCUUAAUAGCUCAGUUAACUAACUGACUAUUUGAAUUCUCGAUUCCCCAUACUGUAAUCCUCUACCCCAAUUUUUUUCAUUACCUUCCUCACAUAUGUAUAAGACCGAAUCCAAAGAACUAAGAUGAGAGAAUUUUGGGAGAGCCGCCACUCCAACUACUGCCAUGUAUUAUCCAUACUAGAUCUGACCAUCUGUCCAUCCUACCCUCCUCUACGUUCUUGACAACCCAUUUUUGUCUUAGUCAAGUCUUUUAGUGGCACAUUUUGACCUUCUUUUCCAUUACUUAGAAAAAGUGAGCUAUUAUUCAGAUACAAAAUACUAUCAUUAUCGCCUAGAAAAUUAGACAUUCAACCCGUAAUCACAAUGAUCCAAUUACAAAAGCUCUGAACCCCCUAGGUCUAGACUGGCUCUGGCCCCUGGUUUUAUCACUUGACCUUCACAUGAGUAAACUCGUUGAUAUAGAGGAUUACAGUAUCGAUUUCUUUAAAAGAAAAAAACCUUAAUUUAUAAAAGUUCAAAAGAUUUUAAUUCAAUGUUUGUAAGUAAAAAAACAUAUUUCAUAAAACGGUUGCAAAUCACAUCGAAUAAGUUCCAUUGAUUGGUGUAUGGUUCUCAUAAGGGAAGUAACAGCAGCAUAAGCCAUAUAUCCAAAAAAUAGGACUAUCUCUCACUCUCAGUAUGAAAAUGGACAAAUUAAUUGCCACAAGUUAUGAAAAUGGCUAGUCCUCAGAACACCUUAACUACUUGCUGCAGAAUAAAAAAAAGACGCAAAAAAUGGAAAAUAAUAUGUUAGAUGUCCCAUAAUUAAGGAACAAGAGAACAUUAUAGUAAGAAUGAGCAUGCAGGUAUAAGAACUUACUCAUUAUUGCGGCAAGAAGCAACUUCUUUCUCAAAGUCAUCAUCAUCAUCAUCUUCAUCUGUUGUUACAGUAUCAAAUACCAAUUUCUCGAGCUGAUAUAAGUAGCGAAAAUCAUACAGGUCCUUGUGAUUGCGAAAGUCCUCUGGGACGCCAAAUACUUUCAACUUCUUUAAAUUGGGAAAUAGUCUAAAAAAAGACCCUGUACAAUACCAAGGAUUCAAUUGAUUGAGGCAUUGCAAACUUUUCAAAACCAAUCUGUUCUCUGUAGGCUCAUGACUCUGCAAGUAAUUCCAGCCCAUACACAGCUUCCUCAAUUGUGGCAUUGUCAAAAUUUCCGAUGGUAAUAUGAAAGGAUAAGCACAAUCACGAAACGGAAAGUUAAACUUAAAAGUUUGUAGAUAGCAUAGGCUUGAUAUCGAUAGAGGAAUGUCUAUUAUUGAUGAGGGAACAGCUUUUAACGAUCCUCGAUACUGCUUUAAGCAAGGAUAAAAACACAAAGAUAGGUAUCUCAAAUGAAUUAGAGAAAGUACUCCACUGGGAAAAAUUGGGUAUAUAUUCAAACCAAGAUCUAGUACUCUUACUAGCUUGAAAGACAAUUCCAGUGUGAAGCAUUUCAAUCCACCCAACAUGAUAAUAGAAUGAGCCUCACUGUUACGACACCAAGCCAAUUCUUCCUUCUUAUAGAUACUGAUCCGACUUCGACUCUUAAAGGAACACUGCAUGGAUUGUGCACAUGAAUUUUGAUCACUCUUUCCUCUGAUAACAUUCACAAAAUUCAUGUUUCGAGCUUCCCUCAAACAGAGUUCACGGAUCACAUCAUGCAUUCCACAUCUCUCUAUUUCCCCAUCAAAACUCAAAUUGUGGAUAGAAAUUAGACUUCUAUCUACAAGUUCGUUUAUACAUGUUUCUGCCACCUCUUCUAUGCUUUUUCCUUCUUCUUCAUUCAAAAACCCCUCUACGGCCCAUAACUCAACAAGUGCAUUUACAUAAAUCCGUUCAUCCUCUGCGAAAAUUGCAAAAUACAGAAAACACGGUUUUAGGUGAGAAGGCAAGUGAUGGUAACUCAAAGCCAACACUCUCAUGCAUUUUGCUUCAAGAUCUCUGCUUACCACCGAACUUACAUUCUCCGCAACAUUUUGCCACUCAUCCAAUGUUUUACUGAUUUUGGAGAGAAGUCCAGCAAUCAAAGUAAUUUCUAGAGGUAACCCUCCACAUUUUAAUGCAAUUUGUUUCCCAAUAUUUUCAAAUUCAGGAGAAUAAGAACCUUCUUUUUCAAAGAUCUUUUUGUGUAGUAAAUUCCAACUUUCGUCAAAAUUCAUGAGGCGCAUNNNNNNNNNNNNNNNNNNNNNNNNNNNNNNNNNNNNNNNNNNNNNNNNNNNNNNNNNNNNNNNNNNNNNNNNNNNNNNNNNNNNNNNNNNNNNNNNNNNNNNNNNNNNNNNNNNNNNNNNNNNNNNNNNNNNNNNNNNNNNNNNNNNNNNNNNNNNNNNNNNNNNNNNNNNNNNNNNNNNNNNNNNNNNNNNNNNNNNNNNNNNNNNNNNNNNNNNNNNNNNNNNNNNNNNNNNNNNNNNNNNNNNNNNNNNNNNNNNNNNNNNNNNNNNNNNNNNNNNNNNNNNNNNNNNNNNNNNNNNNNNNNNNNNNNNNNNNNNNNNNNNNNCAUGUUCAGGUAAACUGACAAGUGAGCUAGUUUGUGGUUUUAGAUCUUUCAUGCUGUCCGAUGCUGCCAUCCACUGUUUCACGGUGGAAUCAAUGUAUUCUAGUGCUUGUUCCAAGACGAAAAAAAUCUCCCACAUAGCCCUGCUUCUUUCCUCCAAAUUCUGUGCUAAAAAAACAUUUCUUGAUUCCGAGUCAACCAUAUCUUCUGUUGUGUAUGCUACCUCUGCGAUUUCAACUUCCAAGAUUGUUAACCCCUCAUGAUCGCCCAUUAUAUUGCAGGAUUUCUCCAGAAUAGCUCUCAAAGAUUUGAGCUUUUCAUAAAACGGUUGCAAAUCACAUCCAGUAAGUUCCAUUGAUUGAUGUAUGGUUCUCAUAAGGGAAGUAACAGCAGCAUAAGCCAUAUAUCCAAAAAAUAGAAAUAUCUCUCAGUAUGAAAAUGGACAAAUUGCCACAAGUUAUGUAAUUUUUCAGUUUUUAAGAAAACAGAAAAUGCAAAGUUCUUUCUUUUACUAGCUAUUUCCAUCACAUUUCCAGCUAGGUCCACCAACCUUAUCAUCAUGUAGACAAAAGCAGAGACCAAAGUUAAAAAAAAGUAGAAAAAUUUGUGAUCAUUCAUUAUUAGACCGUACACAUAUCUAUUCAUGAAUAUAAGUAUGCUUCUUACAUACAAGAGAUUGAUGAUUUUAAUUACAUUGAAAGCAACUUAGUAGAAUUUUCCAAAUCAAAGAGAGAAAUAUUAAGAUCCAAGUAGGAAUUUCUCUAUUCCUAGUUCGAUUCAAUUAACCAAGCAUAAAUAUCUCUUAAUAUACAUGAGAAGUUUAGACUCUAAAAGUCAAAUCAACAAAAUAUUUAUGGGCUAACACAUGAAAAACUAUUGAGAAAAUCGCCUAAUUUCUGUAAAUUGGCCCUUAAAUCUCCAAAAUGAACUCUAAAAAUUGUCAGACUGUACGUAUUGCUCCCCAACUCCCUACUGAGGGUUCUGUAAAGAUUUCGAUUAGAAUUCGUCCGUAAGUCAUAUCACCAAUAUAUUAAUGACUAACACACACGAAAAACUGAGAAAAUUGUCUAAUUUCUUGAAAUUGGCCCCUAAAUGCCUAAAAUGGACUCUAAAAGUUGUGAGACUGUACGUACUGCUCCCCCGACUCCCUACAGAGGGUUUCGUAAAUGUGUAGCAAAGAAAUCGUCUGGAAGUCAUAUCACUAUAAUAUUAAUGGGCUAACACACACAAACCACUGAGAAAGUCGCGUAUUCCUGUAAAUUGGCCCCUAAAUGCCCAAAAUGAACUCUAAAAUUGUGAGACUAUGUACUGCUCCACUAACUCCCUAUGGAGGGUUCCGUAAAGAUUUCACAAAGAAAUUAUUCGGAAGACAUAUCACCAAAAUAUUUAUGGGCUAAUACAUUUUUAUUUGUCCAUUUGAUUUGACAUAUCUUUCAAGUACUUUGAUCUGGUUAUACUUUUUUUUUAUUGCUAAAAAUAAAUAUCCACUUUUACUUGUUCAUUCUACAAAACAAAGACAAUAUUUUAUUGCUUGAUUCAGAUAUAAAAUUUGAGUAGGCUAAUUUACAAACCAUCUGUAGUCAUCCUGCCCCUAUGCUAUAACAUUUGAAAGAAAGAGGUCAUCAUCAUCAUAUUCAUCAUCGUUGUCAUCUUCAUCAUCAUCUUCAUCAUCGUUGUCAUCUUCAUCAUCAUCUUCAUCUUCUUCAUCAUUAUCAUCAUCAUCAUCAUGAUCGUCAUCGUCACUUGUUUCCUCACUGUUGAAAAAGCCAGCAACAAAAGAUGAAAAAUGAAAUGUUAUGCAAGUAUAACAAGUUACACAAUUACUAUAUUGGAAGGAUUUAAAUCAUAUACAAUGACAACGUAUGAACUUUUACACUAUAGGUGCCAUUUAACUGCUUAUUAAAGCAAUUUAUAAUUAUUUUAUUACUAGUUCUGGACACGUGCUUUGCAUGUGUAUAUUACACGUUUAGUCACGAUUGUAAGAGGGUGUACACCAGGAUCAUUCGAAGAGCAAAGUCGUGUGAGCCUUACAGAUAUUCUUGACGUACUCCUAUUAAAAUCUGUAUCAUAUUCGUAACUUUUUGAAUGAGGUUCACCUUUUUCCUCAUUGUACUUUGUACAUGGAUGUUGUCCAUCACAAUAUCCCCUUUUUCAAAUUUCAUAGCUGAACUACUAGGUGUACGAGUUCCUACCAGAACUACUACCAACUAUUUAUCAAAACACACAUCAACUAUAUAUGAGUUGUUCCCUUUUACUAGUGGUGACAAAUAGGUGGAUUUGGACGGGACUGAAAAUGGAUUGAGCAACAUGGUCGUAACUCACUUAAUCUCUUAAAGCCAGAAAACUUUAAAGAGUUAAUUGAAAUAAACUUAAUGACUAUCCUACUUGAAGUAUCACCGUCGUUCAGGUAAGAAAAAGGAAGUAUAUCAAGGAAGAAGAUGUCUUACAAAGCCUGAUGGAUAUGGACCUCGAUAGAACCUCCAUAGUUGUCUUGAAUGUCCUGUUGAAUCUGCUUUGCGGAAUUCCCAACAGAUUCUGGGCAGUUUCUUAUAUAGAUUAGAGCAAGUGUGGUUAUAUCUGCAAAAUCUUGAGGGAUUGAGUCCAAAAACCUGCAACUAUCAAGAAAUAGUCGUUCAAGGCACGGAAAGUGAUCACAACUAGCUCUCCAGUACUGAAUAUGUGAUCUUUUAAGUAACAAGAACUUCAAAAAAGGAAACCCUUCCUCAGCUACUUCCCACUCCCUGCCUCUGCAUACACCCUGUGUUAGUUCAAGAAGUUCAAGUUUGGGCAAUUUUCCGACAACAAUGCUUAAAUCCUUCCAUGACAAGAAGAAAUUUCCUGUAAAAGUUAAAUUCUUAAGGUUUCGUGGAAAAGCAUCUGGAGGAGGUAAGAUCAAAGAUGGAACAACUUCUACAACAAGUGGAUUCCUUGUCUGAAAACACAUUCUCCUCUCCAAAAAGUAAGCAUUAUUUUGAGGAGGAAGACAAAAUGCUAGUUCCUCGAGAUGAUCUAAGUAGCGAAAAUCAUAGAGGUCUUUGUGACUAUGGAAGUCUUGUGGGAUGCCACGUACUUGCAACUCCUUUAAAUUGGGAAAUAGUCUAAAGAAAGAUGCAGUACAAUAGCUAGGAUUCCAUCCAAACAGAGAAUGUAAAUUUUUCAUAACCAAACUUUUCUCUGUAAGCUCAUGAUAUCGCAAGUAAUUCCGAUCCAAAUGAAGGUGCCUCAACUGUGGCAUUGUCAAAAUAUCUGAUGGUAAUAUCAAAGCAUGUUUACGAAGAUUAAUGACGAGUGGAAGGUAAAGUACCAAACUUUGCAGAUAGCAUAGGUUUGAUAUGGAUGUAGGAAUGUCUACUCUUGAUGAGAGAACAUCUUCUUCGGAUCCUAGAUAUUGCUCAACGUUAGGAUAAAUACGCAAAGCUAGGUGUCUUAAGUGAAUCAAAUAAAGUAUUUCACGGGGAAAAGUUAGACAGAUAUUAUCAGCAAGAUCUAGAACUCUUACUAGCUUGAACGGCAAGUACUCCCUCAUGCAACAUCGGAAUCUACCAAAUAAGAUAACAGAAUGAGCUUCACUGUUAAGGCACCUAACAUACUCUUUCUUAUUAUGGAUGCUGAUUCGACUUCGACUCUUAGACAAACACUGCAUGGAUUUCACAUAUGAAUUUUGAUCAUUCUUUCUUCUGAGAACAUUCACAAAAUUCAUGUUACGAGCUUCCAUCAAACAGAGUUCACGAGUCAUAUCAUGAAUUCCACAACACUUAAUUUUUCCAUCAAAAGUAGUACUUUUAAUGGAAAUUAAACUUCUAUCAAUAAGAUCUUGUAGGUACUUUUCUGCCACUUCUUCUAUGCUUUUCAUCUCUUCUACCUUCAAAAAUCCCUCUGUUUCCCACAAUAUCAUAAGUUUAUUGACAAAAAUCAGUUUAUCCUCUGGGAAGAUUGCGAAAUAUAAAAAGCAUGGUUUUAGGUGGUGAGGCAAGUAAUGGUAACUCAUUGCCAACACCCUCAUGCAUUGGACACCAACAUCUGUGCUUACUGCUGAACUUACAUUUUCAGCAACACUUUGCCACUCACUCAAUGCUUUGUCAAUUUUAGUGAGAAGUCCCGCGAUCACAACAAUUGCUAGAGGCAAUCCUCCGCAUUUCAAUGCAAUUUGCUUUCCAAGUUGUUCAUAUUCAGGGGAGAAAGAGUCUUUCGUAAAGACUUUUUCAUAUAAUAAAUUCCAACUUUCGUCAAAAUUCAUGAGGCGCAUGUGAUGAGGAAGCUUACCUGAGCUAGCAUAUUCAGCCACUUCCACAUUCCGAGUAGUCAAGAGUAUUCGGCUUCCAUUAUGAAAGUCUGGGAAACAUAUUUGUAUAUCAUCCCAAGCUUUUGUAGUCCAUAUGUCAUCAAUGACUACCAAAUAUCUCUUGCCUUUUAGAAGCUUUUGCAGUCGAUCUGCUAGUUGCCCGUCAUGUAGCUGAUCAUAAGGUUUAUCACUUAUACAAGAAAGAAGGUCUAGGAAAACAUUUCUCACACAAUACUCUUGUGAAACAGUAGCUUUUGCACGUAUGUCAAAGCGAUACAUCAUGCAUGGAUCGUUGUAGAGUUUUGUUGCCAAAGUUGUCUUGCCAAUGCCUCCCAUACCUACAAUUGAUACAACUUCUAGUUCUCUUUCUCCUCUAGCAAGUUGAUCCAGCAUCAUCUUGAAUUCAUUUUCAUAGCCAACCAUUAUAACCUCGGACCGCUCAACAGCAAGUUCAGGUAUCUUGGAUAGACAGAAAUUUUGUGCUUUGAAAUCUUUAAUGUUGUUGUACCAGUCCCAUAUUGCCAACCACUGCAUCAUGAAGGAAUCAAUACAUUCUACCUCUUGUUCCAAGGAACAACAGAGUUCCCAGAAAGCUUUGCUUCGUGUAAUUACAGUUUCUGCAGAAGAAACUUUUCUUGAUUUCGAAUCAACCAUGUCUUCUGCUUUGAAUGCUACCUCCGUGAUUUCAACUUCCAAGGUUGUUAACCCCUCAUGAUCGCCCGUUAUAUUGCAGGAUUUCUCUAGAAUAGCUCUCAAAGAUUCGAGCUUUUCAUAAAACGGUUGCAAAUCACAUCCAUUAAGUUCCAUUGAUUGGUGUAUGGUUCUCAUAAGGGAAGUAACAGCAGCAUAAGCCAUAUAUCCAAAAAAUAGGAAUCUCUCACUCUCAGUAUGAAAAUGGACAAAUUAAUUGCCACAAGUUAUGUAAUCUUUCUUUUACUAACUAUUUCCAUCACAUUUCUAGCUAGGUCCACUAACAGGAUAAAGUAGAAAGAUGUGAGGUCACUAACCUUAUCAUCAUGAAGACAAAAGAAGAGACCAAAGUUAAAAAAAAAAAAAGACGAAAAAGUAGAAAAAAUUGUGAUCAUUCAUUAUUAGACCCUACACUAAUCUCUUCAGAAAAAUAAAAUAAAAUUUUAGUUUAAAUAAAGGAAUUCAAGCUGUAUAUUGAUAACGUCCAAUUCAAAUUCAAGUGUAGUACGGUCUAGCAAUAAUAAACUCAACAAAAGUUGGAGUCGAGGAGUACGCUUGUGUCAAGGUGACAGAGAGUGUGCGAAUUUGCUAACAAACAAAAGGUCUUUCUUUUAGCUAGGUCCAUAAUCCAUGUAGUGCUCUAUACUCUCUAGUCUCUAUCAACCAGCUCAAGUUUAAGGGUGUGUUUGGUAUGGAGGAAACAUUUUCUCUAGAAUAGGGAGAGAUUUGUGCAUAAACAAGGAAGAAUCUCUCAGUAUAACAGUGAAUGGGUAUUUUUUUAAGAUUUGCUUCUUUUGUGUAUGACUUUUGUAAGAAACAUUCUGGUAAAAGUUAAAAAAAAUGAUCUUGUGGAAUAGCCACAGUGAAUUCCUUAAUAUUCGAGUAGAAAAAGCCAGAGAGGAUAACAUUGCUAUUUGUACACUUAUCGUGACACGAGUAGUCUCUUAAAUAUUACACCUUUCUACUGAUGUUGCUGAUGCCACUGGAUUUAGCCUUCCGUCUUCCUUUGCAAGGUAGAUCGAGGACUCCCAAGAAAGGAAACACAAGUUACUGGAGUCUGUUCUGGCCUAUACAGUAUGUAUGUACAUAAAAUUUGGAGUAUCUAAAAACCACUGACAAAUGGCUAUACGAAAGAUCAUAUACAAUUAAAUUACAAGCCAUUUGCAAUCAUCCUGCCCCUUUAUGCAGAAUCUUUUCAAAGAAAAUGAAAACGAACAAAACAAACACUCACACAUUUGGCUUCUGAUUUGACAUUUAUUUCAGAGAACUGGCUAGUCGCUGCAGGAAAAAAAAAGACGCAAAAAAUGGAAAAUAAUAUGUUAGAUGUCCCAUAAUUAAGGAACAAGAGAACAUUAUAGCAAGAAUGAGCAUGCAGGUAUAAGAACUUACACAUUAUUGCGGCAAGAAGCAACUUCUUUCUCAAAGUCAUCAUCAUCAUCUUCAUCUGUUGUUACACUAUCGAAAAUGCUAGCUACAAAAGAUGAAAAAUGAAAUGUUACACUUCCCAAAAUCAAGAAUGAGCAUGCAAGUAUAACAAGUUACACAAUAUUGGAAGGAUUCGAAUCAAUCACAAUGACAGCAUCAAGAACUUUUGUUGAAUUGGUGUAAUUUGACUUACUAAAGCUAUUAUCCAGAUUAUUAUCGAGUUUACUAUAAUGAUGAGUUAAAUAUUGUUGUAAAUCAAGGAAGAAGAUGUCUUACUAAAGAUUACGAGUAUGGACCUCGAUAGAGCUUCCAUAGUUGUCUUGAAUGUCCUGUUGAAUUUGCUUGGCGGAAUUCCCAACAGAUUGUUGACAGUAAUGUAUAUCAAUAAGAGCUAGUGUGGUUAUAUCUGCAAAAUCUCGAGGGAUUGAAUCCAAAUACUCGCAAUUUCUAAGAAAAAGUCGUUCAAGGUACGGAAAGUGAUCACUACUAGCUCUCCAGUACCGAAUGUAUAUUUGAUCCAGAAACAAGAACUUCAAGUGAGGAAACCCUUCCUCAACUACUUCCCACUCCUCGCCUAUGACGGCAUUGUGUGAUAGUUUAAGGACCUCGAGUUUGGGUAAUUUACCAACAAUGCUCAAAUCCUUCCAUGCCAAAAGGAAAUCUCCUCUAAAAGUUAAACUCUGGAAAAGAUUAAUUAACAAAAAUUUAUGGUACUAAUUGGGGUAUUAAUUAACAUAUCCUUACUUGAUCACAUAUGUAUUGUUCUGUGUGAAAUUUUCCUCUGACUGAUAGUUGACUAAAUUAUAUUGCAUACGUUCGUGUACAUUUUCUCACUUGGAAGAGUGGAUUUGGACGUAAUUAACUAUCACCAUCGUUUAGGUAGAAAAAAGAAAAUAACUAAUAGUUGAAUGUUUUAAUACAUAGAUGAUCAACUAAUAUGAGAAGAAAAGAGUAGCGUAAAUGUGAGAUUCACUUCUCACCAAGAAUCCUCCUUUCUUAUUAUUUUCCUUUUAGAGGUUAAUAAUUAUUAAGUAUCCCUAGAAUAAUUUAUUGAAAAAGUAGAUUUGAAAGAAAGCAAUUACUCUCUUCUUCCUAUGCGGGACUUCUUGAACAUAACUAAUUUGACAAAAACCACAAUUUUAUUUAUUUUUAGGUGGAAUUAUAUCAAUAAGGAACUAUAUAUGCUUAUGAUAUUAAUCUAAGACCAUUAUUUGUUACUUGAACACAUGGAUUCAUCAUCUGAACAAUUGAAACAAUUAAUACUUGUGUGAACCUUUUUUUAUUUCGAGUGAUGUGUCAUAAUCAUUAGCCAACUAAGACUAGCGUUAAAUUUUUGGUAAGUCUCAAGAAGUGUAAUUAAUACUUAAUAAAAUAAUCUCAUCCUUGAGAUUCAAGAACUUGUUUGGAUUGAAUAGGUUUUUAUCAUCAAGAUCUAGAACAAAGUCUUAAUAUUAGUAAGAGGUAUUUUUGUGUGAAAAGUUUUCUUUGAGGUUCGAGAAAUGGAAUAGAUAUGGACUACAAGUUGAUAUUUCCCAUUGGAAAAUUCACACAAAAAGGAACAAGGAAUUCUCAAUGAAAAAAGCGCUCUCCAAAUCUGUUUAGUAUUUGUCAUGAGGUUCUUAUCAUAAUUGGAUUUUCCUUUUAGGAAAAGGUAAACACAGUCUCCAUAUUUGUCUAGUUCUUUUUCUUGUAGGAAAAAAAUUAUGACUCUAUAAAUAGAUGUUUUGUAACAUCCGACAAUUUGAAAUAGCUAAGAAGAGGCUUGAAAUUUGGAAAUUUUCAAUUUUUGGAAAGGAUUUGAAAAUCUGGAAAAUUUGGCUAAGUAUGGGAAAGGUGAGUUUUUUUGGGCCCAAACUUUGAACAACCAUAAAUUCUAGCUCAGGAUGAGUUAGGUGGAGUUCCGGUUAUGUUUGCAUAGCCCUCGGAACGACCUUUCCAACGCCACUGAGUUUGCUCAAUUCUGAGUUCGUAUGAGCGAGUUAUGGCCAUUGAAAGUUGGGCAGUUGGCAGGGAAUCCGUCCGGAAAAUUAAGGGCAUUUUAGUCUUUUCCCUAGCCAAUUCUUUUGGGAUUAUAUUGUUGUAUAGGGCUGAUCUUUAGAUCAUUUUGUCCCAUUUUAAGAAAUUAAAAUCUAGGGCUUGAGAGUGAAGAAGAGAAGAAGGAGAAGAAGAAGAGAAAAAUCGAGGAGAUCAACAAGUUUCCGACAAGAUCAUCGUGAAUGUUCGUCGGGGGUGAUCCCUAUCAAGGUAUGUGAGCUUUUAGUGUUGGGUGAUACUUUCCCCCACACACCUAGCCCCUUUUAUUUAUUAAGGAAGGAUUGGUUAUGUUGUUAAAGUUGUUAGUUGUUGUGGUUGAAGUUGUUGGAGUUGUUAAAGUUGUUAGUUGUUGUUGUUGGAAUUAUUGUUGGUGGUGGGACAUAAUUGAGUUGUGUUUUUAUGUUGAAAUCUAUUGAAUGUUGAGGGAUUUUAUGUUUCUAAGUGAUUGGGGGCUGGAAUCUUUGAGGUUAGAGGGUUUAGAGUUGGUAACGUGAAGGAGAAAGUCGGGUAGCUUGCGAGGAGCAUGUCUGCGUCGCGGACUUGUUCCUCUGUGAACAAAAAAUCUUCUCCGCGUCGCGGACAGGACGCAGACUCCACUGUUUUCAGAAUUUAUGUUCGAAGAUUUUCUUAGGUUUGGCUGUCCCAAAUCAUUCGCAAAUCAUUCCUAAACAUCAUGAGACCCUUCCAAACACCAAUCAAGUCCUUGAAUCCAUAAUCCAAUUCAAGGUGAGUUAUGAUCAAGUCAAGUGAAGUUAGUUUUCAAGUCAAGUGAAGUUAGAAGUCAAGUGAAGUUAGAGCCAAGCUUAGAAGUUAAGCAAGUCAAAGCAAGUCUUUAAAGCUUUUCAAGAGUCUUCAUUGAACGUUUUGACUUCAUUCUAAGGCUCAAGUUCCAAGUUAAGUAUAGAGUUUCAAGUCAAGCAAAGAGUCUCAAGUUUCAAGUUAAGUAAAGAGUAUCGAGUUUCAAUUUAAGUCAUAAUUUUUCAGUCAAGAGUCAAGAGUUGAGUUCAAUUCUCAAAAGUAAUUAGGGAACUAAGUAUUUCCCAAAGAAGUUUUAUAAGUGUUUUCACAUUUAAGUUGAGAGGAAACGGAGAUUUCCAAAAGAGUUUUGAGAAGUUUGAGCACUAUCUCUUUUAAAAGAAAAGAUGAGUUUUUGAAAAAGAGUUUCUAAAUUAUGAUUAGUAUGACAAAUGGAGUAUGUCAUCAAUGUUUAAACAGUAUGGUCUCUAGAUAUACCAUCAAUGUUUAAGCAGUAUGAAUAUCCCGAGUCAUCAAUGAUCAUAAAAAAAAAAAAUGUGGUUUUGACUUGUUCUAUUUAGAAAGAGUUUUCAAGUGCCUUCGGGCUAAGUUUUGAGUAAUUAUCUCAACUAAAGAAAGAUGUGCUUAAAACACUUAUGAGCUAAAGUAUUUUGGGAGUAGUAUCGAGCACCGAAUUGGGGAAACGAGUUCAUAUUAAACUCAACUCUCCAUAAGAACCAUGUAGCCAAACAUGGGAUUUCUCGGAUCAUACUUUUUAGAUGAUCACGAAAGUUAAGCUAGUGGAUCCAUUAAGCAAAAGUUAAAGUAAGGUCCUAUAUCGAUGGCAAGGUAUAGGAUGGUCCUUGGGCAACGUGAGGUAAAACGUUGUAUCACCACUCAGAUUCAUAGUGGUGGUUUGUCGGUUAGAGAAGCUCCCACAGUAGAAAGAGCAUGGUUCCUCGAGGGUUCUGCUUAGUAUGGAUGGGGGUAUGGGACUUCAUUCAUGCAUUGCACAAGUAGACUUUGAGAGGAAGCAUGGUAUUUUUAUGAUAUUAUAAAUAUGAUUUUUACGUCAUGUUUUAAUAGUUUCAAAAGCUUUAUAUAUAUUGCAUGUGUCUCAUUGCUUUAUAUUAAGUUCAGUUAUUCUUGAGUUGUACAGAGCCAAGGUAAGUUCUCUUUUGUAUCCCUUUUCAAGCUUAAGUUGUUGUUUAGCGGUCCAGCUCGCAUACUCGUACAUUCCAUGUACUGAUGCCAGUUGGCCUGCAUCUUAUGACGAUGCAGACACNNNNNNNNNNNNNNNNNNNNNNNNNNNNNNNNNNNNNNNNNNNNNNNNNNNNNNNNNNNNNNNNNNNNNNNNNNNNNNNNNNNNNNNNNNNNNNNNNNNNNNNNNNCAGUCAGUUAGUUUUGAGUCUCUCAUCUAUGUAUAUAUGUAAAUAUUCUAUUUUGAGACUCGAGUGGCCUUUUUGGCCAGAUGUGUAUCAUUUAAGUUGUUUAUGUCUUUGCAUGGCAUUGAGUUAUUCUGUUGAGUAGGUUUCCGCUGAGUUAAGAAAGCCAGGCCAAGGGUUCGCUUGGGGCCAGCAAUGGUCUCUGAGUGCCGGUCCCGCCCAGGGUGUAGGCUCGGGGCGUGACAUGUUUAUUCAUUCUAGCUUGGUAGCAUUCAUAAUGCAAUCCUAGGGGGCUUUGAGAGUUUUGUGUAUUGUGUGAAGCUAGAGGAAGAAUGUAUGAGACACAAGUAUUACUUUAACACUUGUGUGAACCUCUUUGUAUUCAGAGUGAAUUGUGUGAGGUUAUUCUUCUCUAGAUUUUAUAGUGAUUUUUUCAUCUCCUCUUGUGGAUGUAGAUCGGUUGACCGAACCACGAUAAAUGUUUGUGUCUUUUGAUAUAUUUCUUGUUUGUCUUAUUACUCAUCGUCUUUCAAGGUUUGCUUUGCUAGCUUUUGCAUGACACCUAAUUAUUUCAGUCCCAACAAGUGACAUCAGAGUCAGGUUCAAUGGUUUAAUGAUUCAAUGGUCGAACCAUGUUAAAAAUAAGUGUUCAUCUUGACGGGUUUAGUUCUAGCCGUAACAUAUUUGACAGUAAUGAAGAUUUUUGUUGGAGAAAUAUUUUCAAAGAUGUUUUCUGUGUUGAUAUAUAUAUAUAUAUAUAUAUAUAUAGAUUUUGCAGAGGAGAUGCAAGGUAUUGAAGAUUAUGUGAAGAAGGUGGAUCAAAUUUAUUUUGUCAGAAAUUUAGGCCAAUGGAGAUAUUUGUUUAGUAUUUGUCAUGAAUUUCUUAUCAUAAUUGGGUUUUUUCUUUUAGAAAAAGGAAACCACAAAGUUUCCAUAUUUGGCUAGUUCUUUUUCUUGUAGGAAAAUGUUUGACUCUAAAAUUAUAUGUGUAUUCCUUCUAGCCUAAUAGCAUUUACAAUGUAGUCCUAAGGGGCAUAGAGAGUUUUGUGUAUUGCGUGUAGCUAGGGGGAGAAUGUGUGAGACACAAGUGUUACUUUAACACUUGUGUAAACCUCUUUGUUUUUCCAUUGAAUUGUGUAAGGUUAUUCCUCUCAAUAUUUUGUACUUUCUUUUAUAUAGUGAAUUGCUCAUAUCCUCUUUUGGAUGUAGGUCGGUUGUCCGAACUACGUUGAAUAUUUAUGUCUUUUGGUAUAUUUUUCGUUUGUAUUAUUACUCAUGGUCUUUCAAAAUUUGCUUUGCUAGCUUUUGCCUGAUACCUAAUAAUUUCAGUCCCAACAAAACCAAACGUGAAAGUUGUUUUCCAGCAGACAACUUUUCUAGUAGCUCUACUCUCGACUUGGAUAAUUUAACCAAAAAGGUACGCUUUCGGCCAUUCUACAUGCUGCCUAUGUAGAGACAUGUUUAUCUAAAGUGGAUUCUCUUUUUUGUAGUAGGUAUCAAACCUGUUAUGCCCAUUGACUAAGAAGCUAGGGGUGGACACAACAACUACAUGGACCUCUUUCUUACAUCGGCCAUCACUAUUAAUCGUCUUUGUUAUCACAAUGACCACCACUAUUACCGUCAUCAAACAUCUCUGUCCUCACAAUUACCAUUAUUAUCAACCACUACUAUAUAUCAAACAUUUGCUAUAUUUAUGUUUUUUAUUGACAUAAACAAUGGGUUAACAUGAUAUAAUUUAUUAGUAGUUUUAUAUAUUUUUCUUAUAAUAAAGGAAACAAUCACUUAUACAUUCUUUGAGAUCAUUUAGUUUAAAAUCAGGAGUGGAAUCAUAACUAGGGUUAUAGCUUAGCAUCAAUUCACCUUCUUAAUUAAUGGGAUAAUUUAAUUAGCUAAAUUUGAAUGAAAAGAAGAAGAAAUUGAUUAAUUUAAUUCGUUUACGUUCCAAUGGGGUGUGCAAUAUCCAUAAAUUUGUCAUGUCGUUAUUAGGUGUUCAUGAGAUGCACAUAUUCCAAGCAAAAGUACCUAUUUGAUCACUAGAUGAGUUUAAGUAUUCAAUUUACAAAUUCUGCCAAAUUUGAGGGACUAUCUAGGUAUUAUUUAGAUAAAAUUAUUUGUAUAGUCCACUCUAAACAUACUUAUAAUUAAGCAAGUAACAUAUACUAUAUAAAGAAGCUUCUAGAGAUAAUUAAAGUUAACUCUAUAUAAUUAGAGUUGCAAUAACAAAUACGUCAAAACAUUAAAGUGUUUCACCAAUAAAGUCAUUUUUUUAAUGUCCAAAACUAAUCCAAUGGAAGCUCUAUUAUGUGGAACACCAGAAGAAGUUUCAGUAUUGUUGGUACAUCAUGAAGUAGAAUUUCUUACUAAUCAGACUGUUAAAUUGUUAGAGGCUUAUAAAUACAAAGGUGACAUUCUAGAAUUUUUUUAACUUUUUUGUUUCUUUGAUAUAAUAACUAAAUGCCGUGUGACAUUUUUUUUUAUAUAUAGAGAGAGAUUGAAAUGAUAUGCUUUUUGUUAUCUCAUUUAUGAUUUUAGCAUCGUCCAUUUUUAAAUUUCAUUUAUCUUGUAAAUCUUGAACUUUUCUUUUUCCUUGUUAUCAUAGCACUUUUUAAUUUUUACAAAUUUAUCUAUCCUCGAAGAAAAAUAAUUCUACAUUAGUGAUGGAUGCACAAGAAAUUAGGAUGACGGGAGGGAAGAGAAAGAGCACGAAAAAGACAUGAUAAGAGAUGAUCUGUCUAUCAUUAUUACUUGAGAUAAUAUUUUUUUGUCUUUUAUUGGAUGUAUAAAAAAAAAUGAGGAGAUCUAAUUUUCAUUAAAAAAACAUUUCCCUUUCUAUUUUUUGUUUUUGUUUUUCGUUGGACGUAGACAAAAAAUUGGCAACUCCUUUCUUAUACUUUGUUAGAUCAUCUAAUUACAUAUCUAUGAAAUAAAAUUACCUCAAAACAUUUUAUCCUAUUAUCUUUUGCUUUAAUAUUUAUUUGUUUUUGACAAGCCAUAAAUAAAUUGGAAUAGUUUUUAGAAAUAUAUUCUUUAGGAUCUUCUCUAGUUUUUAGUAAUCCAAUUAACGAAAAAAAAAAACUAAUAUAUACUUUUUAUGUAACCAAUCUAGUUAAGAUUGCACUCAUCAUUUAUAAUAUAAGUUGAUUAAUAUGUGUUAUUUUAAAAAUUAAAGUGCAGAAAUAUAACAUGAAAAUUCACAGUUGAAUUUGAAUAACAAACAAACAUAUCCAAAUGAUACCUUUGUGUACAAUAUUUUUUUUUUCAUAAUUUUCACUGAUUUCAAAUUGCACGGGUAUAUGUAGUUACGGAAGUUAUGGCUCCUGCGGCAAUGUCAAUGCUUUUCAAAGAAAAGAAAAAAAUUGAUGCAAUGAUAAUCAAGGUCAUUUCACCGGAUUCACAUUGCUUUGAGCUCCUGGCACAAGCUGUAACCUUGAACAUCAUCGUAGUAAGUAAGUAUUUAUAAUUCUAUCUUCCACUUAUUAUUAUAGACGGUAAAGUAAGUUUUUUUAAUUAACUAUUGCAUAAUGUAUAUAAUAUUAUUCAAUUUUAAUUGCUAUCUUCUUGAUAUAAUUAUGCAGUUGUCUAUGAUGAACUCAAUGAAUUCUUAGUGAAGAAAGCUUUGGACAAUGGAGCUUACAUUUGCUCGAAGAAGCCUCUUGUCGAGCAAACUAUGACAUUCUUGUGGCAAUUUGUAUGGAGGGAGAAAACACAAAGAGGGAAAUCAAUAAAAAGAGUAGAAACAAAGGGAGAUCAUAUUUUUGUUUGAAGUUAUUGGAGUUCUGAGAAAACAAUAGGUCGUGGUUUUUUCCUCCCUUGAGCAAAGAGGUUUCCACGUUAACAUAUGUGUUCUUACUUUAAGCAUUUAGAUUACUUCUUGUUAUCAGUAUAGUCAAGUGGUCAGAACACGAGAAGACAUGUCACUAAACAACAACAUAUAUAGGAAAAAACAAACUCUGCUAAGUGAUCGAUCCGUGUGUGAUAGUUGCCUUCUUAACCUUGAACUAUUGCUUCCUGCUAGAUUAUAUGAACUUAGAUAUGUAUACAAAUUAGUAUUCAAUGAGUUCCCAAACAUUCGUGCAUAAACAAUUUCCCCUGUUGUCGUGCCACCAGGACUUAGCAUAUGUUCUGUAUUUGUAUAAUUUCGAUGAUGAUCAUGAGAUUGCUGGGAUAAUGGAGGCAUAUUAUUAUUGUGUAUUAGACCGUGACUCCUACAUCUCGAACUAGGAGGUCUUUGUGGUAUGACUAUACCAAAAUUCUAUACCAAAAUUCGGGGCCUUAAUUUCAGAUGUUUUUGUAGCUUGACAGCGACCAUAGAGUGGAAUCAAUGUUUUUUGUGAGACUUCAGCUUUGCAAACAGGGCAAUUUGGUUGUUGGUUAUCGAUGUUCUCUGAUGAAAUGGUCUUAAAAUGUAUCCAUUUGUAGAUGCAAGGCCAACAAUAGGAGGUGACCACAUAAUGUAACAACAGGAUCAUGUACAACAUCUAGGCAAAUGUUGCACUCGAAACCUCCAGGUGAAUUUUCUUCAAGUUUAUCAAGAUCAAUUGUCUCCAUUUUUCAAAGGAAAUAUCGCGUUGAUCAAAGGUAGUUUCUGCUAUUUGGUCUUGAAAAAUUUGUUCUAAGGCCAUAUUUGCCUCUUGGUAUUGAAUUAUUUUGGUAAUGGCAAGAUGAAGAAUGGUUAGAAUUCAGGUUUUUAAUACAAUUAGAAGUGAGUAUUUAUAAGGACAAAGAAUAGUAGUUUGCAAACAAUGAUUCUUAAGGUUGUCACUUGUCAACAUCACAUUAUGUUAAAGGGGCAUGGCCAAAAAGAAAAGGCCCUACACAUUAUUAAACAAC
rnacentral:lncRNA from 1 species